CCCCCCCCCCCCCCCCCCCGUGCUGCCUCCCCGUCCCAUUUGUGUCCUCUGGCCAUCGCCCUCUCUGGUAACGCCCAUCACUGCAAAGACCCUUUUCCUUCAUCGGCGUUUGCUGUUCUUCCUGCCAGUGCGUGUUGCUUUCACUUACACUUGCCACAGCCAGCCUCGUGAGUGCCUAGCCUAUUGGAUAUCACUGUCACCUACACAGGACAGUCAUUACCUUUCUAUUAAUACUUUGUGUUUUAAUUUCACAUUAAUUUCCAUAUUGUAUAAACGACUGGAAAAAACUUGAGCCCCUGCCCCUGUAUAAUCAUGUGCAUGUCUCUGUUCUAGCUCCAAGGUGAAUCUUCACUGCUCAUGUUCUCCUCAGAAGCACUCACCUCACUCCCCUCAGGUUACUGUACACAUGCACCAACUGCCUGCUUCAGGUUUGGAUGGAGCUUCAUGGUUGUCUUUUGGAGAAAUGACCAGUCAAGUUGUGUUUGAAAUUUGAUUUUUUUCAGGGGCAAAAGGAGCCUCUGCAUUCUUGUCAAAUAUGUAAAUAGCAUGUUUUUGCAGGUGCUAAAAACCAGACUCUGAGUGUGUGUGUGUGUCUGUGUGUGUGUGUGUGUGUGUGUGCGUGUGUGUGUGUCUGUGUGUGCGUUCAAGUCACAUGACAUAUUUAACCGGAUGUAGCUGCAAGACGGAGCCUCGUUGACUCUCCGUUUCAACUUAUCUCAAAAGUGAGGACCUCAACCUAUAUACCAGUUUUUAAAUUGUGUUGAUAGGCCAAAUAAAACCAGAGUUAUGAUAAAUUAUGUCCGCGAUACUUUUUUUCUGCUUAUUUUGAUCACGUUCGGCGCUUGAUCGCGCUGUAUGAGACAGGAAAACAUAGCAUGCAGACAUUAGCGACAGGUCUUACAGGCGGAAAAGGCUUGCCAAAAGAAAAAAAAAAACACACCACAACAUCUCUCCUAUUGGUGGAAAACUUCACCACAACAACCAAUCCAAAAUUAUAUGGUGACUGAUUGACAAGGGGCGGGUGCUUACGUUCUUCCUGCAACAUGAGAAGGGAGGGAGGGACUCUCAGCAGGGAUGCAGUCUGGGACACGUAGUUGCAAACCUAGCGACUUUGUUGUUAGAUUCAAUGACUUUUCAGACCCCCUAACGACUUUUUUUUAGAAAGAAAGGGACUUUUAUCUACUUCUUCUGGAGUUUAGAGACUCUGACAUGAAGCAGGCUUUCCUUACUGAGGAGUUAGCAACGCUGCUAAGGGUGCAGAGCCACACAUGCGCUCAGAGCUCUGCAUGGGAGACUGAAGCUGACAGAGCUGCAGCAGUUAGCAGGUUUCACCCUCAGAGACCACCAGUGGUUCAUGUUGAGGCAUUUUUAUUUUUAUUUUUUUUUGUGCCAUAGACACUGUCAGCACAAUCUGCAGUUACACUAACAAAAAUGCUGCAAAAAACAAAGAAUUGUGGAAAAAUUACACAUGGACUGACAUAGAGGAGGAUCUACACAAGUAUUUUACAUCAUGUUUUACAUCAUGCAUCAUUUACAUCAUGUUUUUUUGUAGUGGCAUAAAUAAAAAAGUGACAUUUGUGAGACUAUACAGUGUUUUGUAAAUAAUUUUACAAAGAAAGCCUGGGCCAUUGCCUGCAUUUUGAUGUAAAUAGAGGUAAAUCACUAUGUUCUUUGUUAAAAAUGUGCAUAUGUUUUGAAGUUUACAAUUUUUAUUUGAAGUUUAAGUUUUAAAAACAGUUCAUCACACAUAUUUGUGGUUUAAUUUCACAUUAAUUUCCAUAUUGUAUAAAUGACUGGAAAAAACUUGAGCCCCUGCCCCUGUAUAAUCAUGUGCACGUCCCUGUUCUAGCUCCAAGGUGAAUCUUCACUGCUCAUGUUCUCCUCAGAAAUAGUCACCUCACUCCCCUCAGGUUACUGUACACAUGCACCAACUAUCUGCUUCAGGUUUGAAAUGGAGCUUCAUGGUUGUCUUUUGGAGAAAUGAACAGUCAAGUUGUGUUUGAAAUUUGAUUUUUUUCAGGGGCAAAAGGAGCCUCUGCAUUCUUGUCAAAUAUGUAAACAGCAUGUUUUUGCAGGUGCUAAAAAACAGACUCUGAGUGUGUGUGUGUGUCUGUGUGUGUGUGUGUGUGUGUGUGUGUGUAUGUUGGCGUGUGUGUAUAUGUGUGUGUAUCCUGCAGUACUCUGUACUCCUGCAGUGGCCAAAAAGACUUUUAAGAAUGUGGAUUUUUGGGUCAUCUUUGGCGCCCCCUAGAACUGCAGUACUCUGUACUCCUGCAGUGGCCAAAAUGACUUUUAAGAAUGUGGAUUUUUGGGUCAUCUUUGGCGCCCCCUAGAACGUAAACCGUGGGGUGCAGCGUCAUGAUUUUUACAACUUUGAAUGGGCAUGGGGUGUAGAUUGCCCUGAGCAAAUUUGGUAUCGGUGGGACGAAAGCCUUAGGAGGAGAUAGCCACAUUCCAAUGUGUGCGAAUCGGCAAAAAAUGCAAAAUAGCCCUUUUACCGUACAUUAUACAGAUACGCGCUCUUUGACUUUUUCGUAGAUCUAAUUGAGAUACACAUGAUUGUCAAUUUUUGUGUCAAUAUGACAAAGCGUACAGGCGUGACAGUCAACAAUGUGUAUUUUCAUGUAAGGGGACAAGAAAAAAUUGACUUUUUUCUCCUACCAUGGGGGGGCGCUCUCUUGGGGAGUAAAAAUUCCUUCACAAAUGUGUUGAUGGCUGGACAUUGCAUCAUCCUAGAAAACUUGGAGGCCAGUGAGGACAAAAAUAAAAAGUUAUGAAACAUUUAAGAAUGUGGAUUUUUGGGUUAUUUUUGGCGCCCCCUAGAACCUCAACCAUGGGGUGCAGCAUCAUGAUUUGAAUAACUUUUAAUGGCCAUGGGGUGUAGAUUGGCUUGAGCAAAUGUGGUGCCGGUGGAACGAAAGCCUUCGGAGGAGUUAGCGAAAUUCCAAUGUGUGCGUGUCAGCAAAUAAUGCGGAAUAACCCUUUAACUGUACAUUUGACAGAUACGCGCGCUGGACUUUUUUGUAGAUCUUAUUGAGUUACAUGUGUGUGUCAAUUUUUGUGUCAUUUUGACAAAGCGUAUAGGCGUGACACUCAACAAUGUGUAUUUUCACCUUAGGGGACAAGAAAAAAUUGACUUUUUUCUCCUGCCAUGGGGGGGCGCUCUUUUGGGGAGUAAAAAUUCCUUCACAAAUGUGUUGAUGGCUGGACAUUGCAUCAUCCUAGAAAACUUGGAGGCCAGUGAGGACAAAAAUAAAAAGUUAUGAAACAUUUAAGAAUGUGGAUUUUAGGGUUAUCUUUGGCGCCCCCUAGAACCUAAACCUUGGGGUGCAGCGUCAUGAUUUUGAUAACUUUUAAUGGCCACGGGGUGUAGAUUGGCCUGAGCAAAUGUGGUGCCGGUGGAACGAAAGCCUUCGGAGGAGUUAGCGAAAUUCCAAUGUGUGCGGAUCGGCAAAAAAUGCGUAAUAACCCUUUAACCGUACAUUUGACAGAUACGCCCGCACUGACUUUUUUGUAGAUCUUAUUGAGAUACAUGUGUGUGUCAAUUUUUGUGUCAUUUUGACAAAGCGUACAGUCGUGACAGUGAAUAGUGUGAAUUUUCACCUUAGGGGGCGCUAUGGAGCCAUUUUGCAUUUUAUUGUUUUGGCGACUUCAGAAUAUCAAAUUUUUCACCAGGCCCGGUCGUCCUGCCAAAUUUCAAGAGUUUUCGCCAGUGGGAAGUGGGCCAUUUUCCAGUUCAAAGGGGAGGAAAAAGAAACUAGGGCCCCGUUGGGGCACUGGCGGGCCCGAGCCGUGUCACGCCGCCCCCAGCGCGACCGCCUCCCCCACCCGAUCGCGUCACACUCAAGGUCCAAAGAUGGUGUGCGCACUUGUUUGUGGUCAUUUACCAUUAUAAUGAACGGGAGGCGCAGUUUCUACCAAAACGCUCGCUGCAGAAAAACUCCAUGUCCUAUUUGAAAAAAGUCUGGACCAUGAGUGAGGGCACAAACACAGCUAAGAUAUAUCCAAAUGGCAAGUUGCUCCUCCUUUCGCUUUUGCCGAGAGAGCAGUGCGUUUGAGCCAUUGAAUGAUGAACAGGAAAAACUUGACUUUAUUCUCCUGCCAUGGGGGGGCGCUCUUUUAAAGAGAAAAACUCCUUCACAAAUGUGUUGAUGGCUGGACAUUGCAUCAUCCUAGAAAACAUGGAGGCCAGUGAGGACAAAAAUAAAAAGUUAUAAGACUUUUAAAUAUGUGGAUUUUAGGGUUAUAUUUGGCGCCCCCUAGAACCUAAACCGUGGGGUGCAGCGUCAUGAUUUGAAUAACUUUUAAUGGCCAUGGGGUGUAGAUUGGCCUGAGCAAAUGUGGUGCCGGUGGAACGAAAGCCUUCGGAGGAAUUAGCGAAAUUCCAAUGUGUGCGAAUCUGCAAAAAAUGCGAAAUAACCCUUUAACCGUACAUUUUACAGAUACGUGGCCAUUGACUUUUUCGAAGAUCUUAUGGAAAUACACGUGUAUGUAAAAUUUUGUGUCAAUACGACAAAACAUACAGGCGUAGCACUCAACAAUGUGUAUUUUCACCUUAGUGGACAAGAAAAAAUUGACUUUUUUCUCCUGCCAUGGGGGGCGCUCUUUUGGCGAGUAAAAAUUCCUUCACAAAUGUGUUGAUGGCUGGACAUUGCAUCAUCCUAGAAAACUUGGAGGCCAGUGGGGACAAAAAUAAAAAGUUAUAAGACUUUUAAAUAUGUGGAUUUUACGGUUAUCUUUGGCUCCCCCUAGAACCUAAACCGUGGGGUGCAGCGUCAUGAUUUGAAUAACUUUUAAUGGCCAUGGGGUGUAGAUUGGCCUGAGCAAAUGUGGUGCCGGUGGAACGAAAGCCUUCGGAGGAGUUAGCGAAAUUCCAAUGUGUGCGGAUCGGCAAAAAAUGCGGAAUAACCCUUUAACCGUACAUUUGACAGAUACGCGCGCAUUGACUUUUUCGUAGAUCUUAUUGAGAUACAUGUGUGUGUCAAUUUUUGUGUCAUUUUGCCAAAGCGUACAGGUGUUACACUCAACAAUGUGUAUUUUCACCUUAGGGGACAAGAAAAAAUGGACUUUUUUCUCCUGCCAUGGGGGGCGCUCUUUUGGGGAGUAAAAAUUCCUUCACAAAUGUGUUGAUGGCUGGACAUUGCAUCAUCCUAGAAAACUUGGAGGCCAGUGAGGGCAAAAAUAAAAAGUUAUAAGACUUUUAAAUAUGUGGAUCUUAGGGUUAUCUUUGGCGCCCCCUAGAACCUAAACCGUGGGGUGCAGCGUCAUGAUUUGAAUAACUUUUAAUGGCCAUGGGGUGUAGAUUGGCCUGAGCAAAUGUGGUGCCGGUGGAACGAAAGCCUUCGGAGGAGUUAGCGAAAUUCCAAUGUGUGCGGAUCGGCAAAAAAUGCGAAAUAACCCUUUAACCGUACAUUUGACAGAUACGCCCGCACUGACUUUUUUGUAGAUCUUAUUGAGAUACAUGUGUGUGUCAAUUUUUGUGUCAUUUUGACAAAGCGUACAGGCGUGACAGUGAAUAGUGUGAAUUUUCACCUUAGGGGGCGCUAUGGAGCCAUUUUGCAUUUUCUUGUUUGGGCGACUUCGGAAUAUCAAAUUUUUCACCAGGCCCGGUCGUCCUGCCAAAUUUCAUGAGUUUUCGCCAGUGGGAAGUGGGCCAUUUUCCAGUUCAAAGGGGAGGAAAAAUAAUAACUAGGGCCCCGUUGGGGCUCUGGCGGGCCCGAGCCAUGUCACGCCGCCCUCAGCGCGACCGCCUCCCCCACCCGAUCGCGUCACACUCAAGGUCCAAAGAUGGUGUGCGCACUUGUUUGUGGUCAUUUACCAUUAUAAUGAACGGGAAGCGCAGUUUCUACCAAAACGCUCGCUGCAGCAAAACUCCAUGACCUAUUUGAAAAAAGUCUGGACCAUGAGUGAGGGCACAAACACAGCUAAGAUAUAUCCAAAUGGCAAGUUGCUCCUCCUUUCGCUUUUGCCGAGAGAGCAGUGCGUUUGAGCCAUUGAAUGAUGAACAGGAAAAACUUGACUUUAUUCUCCUGCCAUGGGGGGGCGCUCUUUUAACGAGAAAAAACUCCUUCACAAAUGUGUUGAUGGCUGGACAUUGCAUCAUCCUAGAAAACAUGGAGGCCAGUGAGGACAAAAAUAAAAAGUUAUAAGACUUUUAAAUAUGUGGAUUUUAGGGUUAUCUUUGGCGCCCCCUAGAACCUAAACCGUGGGGUGCAGCGUCAUGAUUUGAAUAACUUUUAAUGGCCAUGGGGUGUAGAUUGGCCUGAGCAAAUGUGGUGCCGGUGGAACGAAAGCCUUCGGAGGAUUUAGCGAAAUUCCAAUGUGUGCGAAUCUGCAAAAAAUGCGAAAUAACCCUUUAACCGUACAUUUUACAGAUACGUGGCCAUUGACUUUUUCGAAGAUCUUAUUGAAAUACACGUGUAUGUAAAAUUUUGUGUCAAUACGACAAAACAUACAGGCGUAGCACUCAACAAUGUGUAUUUUCACCUUAGUGGACAAGAAAAAAUGGACUUUUUUCUCCUGCCAUGGGGGGGCGCUCUUUUGGCGAGUAAAAAUUCCUUCACAAAUGUGUUGAUGGCUGGACAUUGCAUCAUCCUAGAAAACUUGGAGGCCAGUGGGGACAAAAAUAAAAAGUUAUAAGACUUUUAAAUAUGUGGAUUUUACGGUUAUCUUUGGCGCCCCCUAGAACCUAAACCGUGGGGUGCAGCGUCAUGAUUUGAAUAACUUUUAAUGGCCAUGGGGUGUAGAUUGGCCUGAGCAAAUGUGGUGCCGGUGGAACGAAAGCCUUCGGAGGAGUUAGCGAAAUUCCAAUGUGUGCGGAUCGGCAAAAAAUGCGGAAUAACCCUUUAACCGUACAUUUGACAGAUACGCGCGCAUUGACUUUUUCGUAGAUCUUAUUGAGAUACAUGUGUGUGUCAAUUUUUGUGUCAUUUUGCCAAAGCGUACAGGUGUUACACUCAACAAUGUGUAUUUUCACCUUAGGGGACAAGAAAAAAUGGACUUUUUUCUCCUGCCAUGGGGGGGCGCUCUUUUGGGGAGUAAAAAUUCCUUCACAAAUGUGUUGAUGGCUGGACAUUGCAUCAUCCUAGAAAACUUGGAGGCCAGUGAGGGCAAAAAUAAAAAGUUAUAAGACUUUUAAAUAUGUGGAUCUUAGGGUUAUCUUUGGCGCCCCCUAGAACCUAAACCGUGGGGUGCAGCAUCAUGAUUUGAAUAACUUUUAAUGGCCAUGGGGUGUAGAUUGGCCUGAGCAAAUGUGGUGCCGGUGGAACGAAAGCCUUCGGAGGAGUUAGCGAAAUUGCAAUGUGUGCGGAUCGGCAAAAAAUGCGAAAUAACCCUUUAACCGUACAUUUGACAGAUACGCCCGCACUGACUUUUUUGUAGAUCUUAUUGAGAUACAUGUGUGUGUCAAUUUUUGUGUCAUUUUGACAAAGCGUACAGGCGUGACAGUCAAUAGUGUGAAUUUUCACCUUAGGGGGCGCUAUGGAGCCAUUUUGCAUUUUCUUGUUUGGGCGACUUCGGAAUAUCAAAUUUUUCACCAGGCCCGGUCGUCCUGCCAAAUUUCAUGAGUUUUCGCCAGUGGGAAGUGGGCCAUUUUCCAGCUCAAAGGGGAGGAAAAAUAAUAACUAGGGCCCCGGUGGGGCACUGUCGGGCCCGAGCCGCGUCGCGCCGCCCCCAGCGCGACCGCCUCCCCCUCCCGAUCGCGUCACACUCAAGGUCCAAAGAUGGUGUGCGCACUUGUCUGUGGUCAUUUCCCAUUAUAAUGAAUGGGAGGCGCAGUUUCUACCAAAACGCUCGCUGCAGACAAACUACAUGUCCUAUUUGAAAAAAGUCUGGACCAUGAGUGAGGGCACAAACACAGCUAGUAUAUAUCCAAAUGGCAAGUUGCUCCUCCUUUCGGUUUUGCAGAGAGAGCGAUGCGUUUGAGCCAUUGAGCGAUGGGCAGGAAAAACUUGACUUUUUCUCCUGCCAUGGGGGGCGCUCUUUUGGGGAGAAAAAAUUCCUUCACAAAUGUGUUGAUGGCUGGACAUUGCAUCAUCCUAGAAAACUUGGAGGCCAGUGAGGACAAAAAUAAAAAGUUAUAAGACUUUUAAAAAUGUGGAUAUUUGGGUCCUCUUUGGCGCCCCCUAGAACGUAAACUGUGGGGUGCAGCGUCAUGAUUUGUACAACUUUGAAUGGCCAUGGGGUGUAGAUUGACCUGAGCAAAUUUGAAGCCGAUGGGACAAAAGAUUUAGGAGGAGUUAGCGAAAUUCCAAUGUGUGCGGAUCGGCAAAAAAUGCGAAAUAACCCUUUAACCGUACAUUUGACAGAUACGCCCGCACUGACUUUUUUGUAGAUCUUAUUGAGAUACAUGUGUGUGUCAAUUUUUGUGUCAAUAUGACAAAGCGUAAAGGCGUGACAGUCAAUAGUGUGAAUUUUCGCCUUAGGAGACAAGAAAAAAUGGACUUUUUUCUCCUGCCAUGGGGGGGCGCUCUUUUGGGGAGUAAAAAUUCCUUCACAAAUGUGUUGAUGGCUGGACAUUGCAUCAUCCUAGAAAACUUGGAGGCCAGUGAGGACAAAAAUAAAAAGUUAUACGACUUUUAAGAAUGUGGAUUUCUGGGUUAUCUUUGGCGCCCCCUAGAACGUAAACCGUGGGAUGCAGCGUCAUGAUUUGUACAACUUUUAAUGGCCAUGGGGUGUAGAUUGGCCUGAGCAAAUUUGGUGCCGGUGGAACGAAAGCCUUCGGAGGAGUUAGCGAAAUUCCAAUGUGUGCGGAUCGGCAAAAAAUGCGAAAUAGCCCUUUAACCGUACAUUUGACAGAUACGCCCGCACUGACUUUUUUGUAGAUCUUAUUGAGAUACACGUGUGUGUCAAAUUUUGUGUCAUUUUGACAAAGCGUACAGGCGUGACACUCAAUCAUGUGAAUUUUUCACCUUAGGGGGCGCUAUGGAGCCAUUUUGCAUUUGAUUUUUUGGGCGACUUCAGAAUAUCGAAUUUUUCACCAGGCCCGGUCGUCCUGCCAAAUUUCAUGACUUUUCACCAGUGGGAAGUGGGCCAUUUUCCAGUUCAAAGGGGCAGAAAAAUAAUAAGAAGAAGAAGAAGAAAGAAGAAUCCAUCAGGAAUAAUAGGGCUCUCGCAGCUGCUUAGCAGCUACGCUCGGGCCCUAAUAAUAACACUAGGACCCCGUUGGGGCACUGGCGGGCCCGAGCUGUGUCGCGCCGCCCCCAACACGACCGCCUCUCCCUCCCGAUCGCGUCACACUCAAGGUCCAAAGAUGGUGUGCACACUUGUCUGUGGUCAUUUACCAUUAUAAUGAAUGGGAGGCGCAGUUUCUACCAAAACGCUCGCUGCAGACAAACUACAUGUCCUAUUUGAAAAAAGUCUGGACCAUGAGUGAGGGCACAAACACAGCUAGGAUAUAUCCAAAUGGCAAGUUUCUCCUCCUUUCGGUUUUGCCGAGAGAGCGAUGUGUUUGAGCCGUUGAGCGAUGGGCAGGAAAAACUUGACUUUUUCUCCUGCCAUGGGGGGGCACUCUUUUAGGGAGUAAAAAUUCCUUCACAAAUGUGUUGAUGGCUGGACAUUGCAUCAUCCUAGAAAACUUGGAGGCCAGUGAGGACAAAAAUAAAAAGUUAUAAGACUUUUAAAUAUGUGGAUUUUAGGGUUAUCUUUGGCGCCCCCUAGAACCUAAACCGUGGGGUGCAGCAUCAUGAUUUGAAUAACUUUUAAUGGCCAUGGGGUGUAGAUUGGCCUGAGCAAAUGUGGUGCCGGUGGAACAAAAGCCUUCGGAGGAGUUAGCGAAAUUCCAAUGUGUACGGAUCGCCAAAAAAUGCGAAAUAGCCCUUUAACCGUACAUUUGACAGAUACGCCCGCAUUGACUUUUUCGUAGAUAUUAUUGAGAUACACCUGUGUGCCAAAUUUUGUGUCAUUUUGACAAAGUGUAGAGGCGUGACACUGAACAAUGUGUAUUUUCACCUUAGGGGACAAGAAAAAAUGGACUUUUUUCUCCUGCCAUGGGGGGCGCUCUUUUGGGGAGUAAAAAUUCCUUCACAAAUGUGUUGAUGGCUGGACAUUGCAUCAUCCUAGAAAACUUGGAGGCCAGUGAGGACAAAAAUAAAAAGUUAUAAGACUUUUAAAUAUGUGGAUUUUCGGGUUAUCUUUGGCGCCCCCUAGAACCUAAACCGUGGGGUGCAGCGUCAUGAUUUGAAUAACUUUUAAUGGCCAUGGGGUGUAGAUUGGCCUGAGCAAAUGUGGUGCCGGUGGAAUAAAAGCCUUCGGAGGAGUUAGCGAAAUUCCAAUGCGUACGGAUCGCCAAAAAAUGCGAAAUAGCCCUUUAACCGUACAUUUGACAGAUACGCCCGCAUUGACUUUUUUGUAGAUCUUAUUGAGACACACCUGUGUGCCAAAUUUUGUGUCAUUUUGACAAAGUGUAGAGGCGUGACACUCAACAAUGUGUAUUUUCACCUUAGGGGACAAGAAAAAAUGGACUUUUUUCUCCUGCCAUGGGGGGGCGCUCUUUUGGGGAGUAAAAAUUCCUUCACAAAUGUGUUGAUGGCUGGACAUUGCAUCAUCCUAGAAAACUUGGAGGCCAGUGAGGACAAAAAUAAAAAGUUAUAAGACUUUUAAAUAUGUGGAUUUUAGGGUUAUCUUUGGCGCCCCCUAGAACCUAAACCGUGGGGUGCAGCGUCAUGAUUUGAAUAACUUUUAAUGGCCAUGGGGUGUAGAUUGGCCUGAGCAAAUGUGGUGCCGGUGGAACAAAAGCCUUCGGAGGAGUUAGCGAAAUUCCAAUGUGUACGGAUCGCCAAAAAAUGCGAAAUAGCCCUUAAACCGUACAUUUGACAGAUACGCCCGCACUGACUUUUUUGUAGAUCUUAUUGAGAUACAUAUGUGUGUCAAAUUUUGUGUCAUUUUGACAAAGCGUACAGGCGUGACAGUCAAUAGUGUGAAUUUCCACCUUAGGGGGCGCUAUGGAGCCAUUUUGCAUUUUAUUGUUUGGGCGACUUCAGAAUAUCAAAUUUUUCACCAGGCCCGGUCGUCCUGCCAAAUUUCAUGAGUUUUCGCCAGUGGGAAGUGGGCCAUUUUCCAGUUCAAAGGGGAGGAAAAAUAAUAAUAAUAAUAACUAGGGCCCCGUUGGGGCACUGGCGGGCCCGAGCCGCGUUGCGCCGCCCCCAGUGCGACCGCCUCCCCCUCCCGAUCGCGUCACACGCAAGGUCCAAAGAUGGUGUGCGUACUUGUCUGUGGUCAUUUCCCAUUAUAAUGAAUGGGAGGCGCAGUUUCUACCAAAACACUCGCUGCAGACAAACUACAUGUCCUAUUUGAAAAAAGUCUGGACCAUGAGUGAGGGCACAAACACAGCUAGGAUAUAUCCAAACGGCAAGUUGCUCCUCCUUACGGUGUUGCCGGGAGAGCGAUGCGAUUGAGCCAUUGAGUGAUGGGCAGGAAAAACUUGACUGUUUCUCCUGCCAUGGGGGAUGGGGGAUGGGGGAUUGGGGGGGGGGGGGGGGGAUUCUUUUAAGAAUGUGGAUAUUUGGGUCAUCUUUGGCGCCCCCUAGAACGUAAACCGUGGGGUGCAGCGUCAUGAUUUUUAAAACUUUGAAUGGCCAUGGGGUGUAGAUUGGCCUGAGCAAAUUUGGUGUCAGUGGGACGAAAGCCUUAGGAGGAGUUAGCCACAUUCCAAUGUGUGCUAAUGGGCAAAAAAUGCAAAAUAGCCCUUUAACCGUACAUUUUACAGAUACGCGCGCAUUGACUGUUUCGUAGAUCUUAUUGAGAUACAUGUGUGUGUCAAAUUUUGUGUCAAUAUGACAAAGCAUACAGGUAUGACAGUCAACAAUGUGUAUUUUCACCUUAUGGGACAAGAAAAAAUGGACUUUUUUCUCCUGCCAUGGGGGGGCGCUCUUUUGGGGAGUAAAAAUUCCUCCACAAAUGUGUUGAUGGCUGGACAUUGCAUCAUCCUAGAAAACUUGGAGGCCAGAGAGGACAAAAAUAAAAAGUUAUAAGACUUUUAAAUAUGUGGAUUUUAGGGUUAUCUUUGGCGCCCCCUAGAACCUAAACCGUGGGGUGCAGCGUCAUGAUUUGAAUAACUUUUAAUGGCCAUGGGGUGUAGAUUGGCCUGAGCAAAUGUGGUGCCAGUGGAACGAAAGCCUUCGGAGGAGUUAGCGAAAUUCCAAUGUGUGCGGAUCGGCAAAAAAUGCGCAAUAACCCUUUAACCGUACAUUUGACAGAUACGCCCGCACUGACUUUUUUGUAGAUCUUAUUGAGAUACAUGUGUGUGUCAAUUUUUGUGUAAUUUUGACAAAGCGUACAGGCGUGACAGUCAAUAGUGUGAAUUUUCACCUUAUGGGACAAGAAAAAAUGGACUUUUUUCUCCUGCCAUGGGGGGGCGCUCUUUUGGGGAGUAAAAAUUCCUUCACAAAUGUGUUGAUGGCUGGACAUUGCAUCAUCCUAGAAAACUUGGAGGCCAGUGAGGGCAAAAAUAAAAAGUUAUAAGACUUUUAAAUAUGUGGAUUUUAGGGUUAUCUUUGGCGCCCCCUAGAACCUAAACCGUGGGGUGCAGCGUCAUGAUUUGAAUAACUUUUAAUGGCCAUGGGGUGUAGAUUGGCCUGAGCAAAUGUGGUGCCGGUGGAACUAAAGCCUUCGGAGGAGUUAGCGAAAUUCCAAUGUGUGCGGAUCGGCAAAAAAUGCGCAAUAACCCUUUAACCGUACAUUUGACAGAUACGCCCGCACUGACUUUUUUGUAGAUCUUAUUGAGAUACAUGUGUGUGUCAAUUUUUUUGUCAUUUUGACAAAGCGUACAGGCGUCAGGUGAAUUUUUCACCUUAGGGGGCGCUAUGGAGCCAUUUUGCAUUUUCUUGUUUGGGCGACUUCAGAAUAUCAAAUUUUUCACCAGGCCCGGUCGUCCUGCCAAAUUUCAUGAGUUUUCGCCAGUGGGAAGUGGGCCAUUUUCCAGUUCAAAGGGGAGGAAAAAGAAAAAAGAAACAAAGAAAAACCACUUGGGGAAUAAUAGGGCUCUCGCAGCUGCUUAGCAGCUACGCUCGGGCCCUAAUAACAAAAGAAGGAAACAUGCAGGAACAAGAGGGCUCUCGCAGCUGCUUAGCAGCUACGCUCGGGCCCUAAAAAGAAAGAAAGAAACAAAGACUAGGACCCCGUUGGGGCACUGUCGGGCCCGAGCCGUGUCGCGCCGCCCCCAGUGCGACCGCCUCCCCCUCCCGAUCGCGUCACACUCAAGAUCCAAAGAUGGUGUGCGCACUUGUCUGUGGUCAUUUCCUAUUAUAAUGAAUGGGAGGCGCAGUUUCUACCAAAACACUCGCUGCAGACAAACUUCAUGUCCUAUUUGAAAAAAGUCUGGACCAUGAGUGAGGGCACAAACACAGCUAUGAUAUAUCGAAAUGGCAGGUUGCUCCUCCUUACGGUGUUGCCUGGAGAGCGAUGCGAUUGAGCCAUUGAGCGAUGGGCAGGAAAAAACUUUUUCUCCUGCCAUAUGGGGGGGGGGGAUGUGGAUUCUUUGAAAUAUGUGGAUUUUUGGGUCAUCUUUGGCGCCCCCUAGAACGUAAACCGUGGGGUGCAGCGUCAUGAUUUUUACAACUUUGAAUGGCCAUGGGGUGUAGAUUGGCCUGAGCAAAUUUGGUGUCAGUGGGACGAAAGCCUUAGGAGGAGUUAGCCACAUUCCAAUGUGUGCGAAUCGGCAAAAAAUGCAAAAUAGCCCUUUAACCGUACAUUUGACAGAUACGCGCUAAUCGACUCUUUUGUAGAUCUUAUUGAGAUACAUAUGUGUGUCAAUUUUUGUGUCAAUAUGAUAAAGCGUACAGGCGUGACAGUCAAUAGUGUGAAUUUCCACCUUAGGGGACAAGAAAAAAUUGGCUUUUUUUUCCUGCCAUGGGGGGGCGCUCUUUUGGGGAGUAAAAAUUCCUUCACAAAUGUGUUGAUGGCUGGACAUUGCAUCAUCCUAGAAAACUUGGAGGCCAGUGAGGACAAAAAUAAAAAGUUAUAAGACUUUUAAAUAUGUGGAUUUUAGGGUUAUCUUUGGCGCCCCCUAGAACCUAAACCGUGGGAUGCAGCGUCAUGAUUUGAAUAACUUUUAAUGGCCAUGGGGUGUAGAUUGGCCUGAGCAAAUGUGGUACCGGUGGAAUGAAAGCCUUCGGAGGAGUUAGCGAAAUUCCAAUGUGUGCGGAUCGGCAAAAAAUGCGGAAUAACCCUUUAACCGUACAUUUGACAGAUACGCGCGCAUUGACUUUUUCGUAGAUCUUAUUGAGAUACAUGUGUGUGUCAAUUUUUGUGUCAUUUUGCCAAAGCGUACAGGUGUUACACUCAACAAUGUGUAUUUUCGCCUUAGGGGACAAGAAAAAAUGGACUUUUUUCUCCUGCCAUGGGGGGCGCUCUUUUGGGGAGUAAAAAUUCCUUCACAAAUGUGUUGAUGGCUGGACAUUGCAUCAUCCUAGAAAACUUGGAGGCCAGUGAGGGCAAAAAUAAAAAGUUAUAAGACUUUUAAAUAUGUGGAUCUUAGGGUUAUCUUUGGCGCCCCCUAGAACCUAAACCGUGGGGUGCAGCGUCAUGAUUUGAAUAACUUUUAAUGGCCAUGGGGUGUAGAUUGGCCUGAGCAAAUGUGGUGCCGGUGGAACGAAAGCCUUCGGAGGAGUUAGCGAAAUUCCAAUGUGUGCGGAUCGGCAAAAAAUGCGAAAUAACCCUUUAACCGUACAUUUGACAGAUAUGCCCGCACUGACUUUUUUGUAGAUCUUAUUGAGAUACAUGUGUGUGUCAAUUUUUGUGUCAUUUUGACAAAGCGUACAGGCGUGACAGUCAAUAGUGUGAAUUUUCACCUUAGGGGGCGCUAUGGAGCCAUUUUGCAUUUUCUUGUUUGGGCGACUUCGGAAUAUCAAAUUUUUCACCAGGCCCGGUCGUCCUGCCAAAUUUCAUGAGUUUUCGCCAGUGGGAAGUGGGCCAUUUUCCAGUUCAAAGGGGAGGAAAAAUAAUAAUAAUAACACUAGGACCCCGUUGGGGCACUGGCGGGCCCGAGCUGUGUCGCGCCGCCCCCAACACGACCGCCUCUCCCUCCCGAUCGCGUCACACUCAAGGUCCAAAGAUGGUGUGCACACUUGUCUGUGGUCAUUUACCAUUAUAAUGAAUGGGAGGCGCAGUUUCUACCAAAACGCUCGCUGCAGACAAACUACAUGUCCUAUUUGAAAAAAGUCUGGACCAUGAGUGAGGGCACAAACACAGCUAGGAUAUAUCCAAAUGGCAAGUUUCUCCUCCUUUCGGUUUUGCCGAGAGAGCGAUGUGUUUGAGCCGUUGAGCGAUGGGCAGGAAAAACUUGACUUUUUCUCCUGCCAUGGGGGGGCACUCUUUUAGGGAGUAAAAAUUCCUUCACAAAUGUGUUGAUGGCUGGACAUUGCAUCAUCCUAGAAAACUUGGAGGCCAGUGAGGACAAAAAUAAAAAGUUAUAAGACUUUUAAAUAUGUGGAUUUUAGGGUUAUCUUUGGCGCCCCCUAGAACCUAAACCGUGGGGUGCAGCAUCAUGAUUUGAAUAACUUUUAAUGGCCAUGGGGUGUAGAUUGGCCUGAGCAAAUGUGGUGCCGGUGGAACAAAAGCCUUCGGAGGAGUUAGCGAAAUUCCAAUGUGUACGGAUCGCCAAAAAAUGCGAAAUAGCCCUUUAACCGUACAUUUGACAGAUACGCCCGCAUUGACUUUUUCGUAGAUAUUAUUGAGAUACACCUGUGUGCCAAAUUUUGUGUCAUUUUGACAAAGUGUAGAGGCGUGACACUGAACAAUGUGUAUUUUCACCUUAGGGGACAAGAAAAAAUGGACUUUUUUCUCCUGCCAUGGGGGGGCGCUCUUUUGGGGAGUAAAAAUUCCUUCACAAAUGUGUUGAUGGCUGGACAUUGCAUCAUCCUAGAAAACUUGGAGGCCAGUGAGGACAAAAAUAAAAAGUUAUAAGACUUUUAAAUAUGUGGAUUUUCGGGUUAUCUUUGGCGCCCCCUAGAACCUAAACCGUGGGGUGCAGCGUCAUGAUUUGAAUAACUUUUAAUGGCCAUGGGGUGUAGAUUGGCCUGAGCAAAUGUGGUGCCGGUGGAAUAAAAGCCUUCGGAGGAGUUAGCGAAAUUCCAAUGCGUACGGAUCGCCAAAAAAUGCGAAAUAGCCCUUUAACCGUACAUUUGACAGAUACGCCCGCAUUGACUUUUUUGUAGAUCUUAUUGAGACACACCUGUGUGCCAAAUUUUGUGUCAUUUUGACAAAGUGUAGAGGCGUGACACUCAACAAUGUGUAUUUUCACCUUAGGGGACAAGAAAAAAUGGACUUUUUUCUCCUGCCAUGGGGGGGCGCUCUUUUGGGGAGUAAAAAUUCCUUCACAAAUGUGUUGAUGGCUGGACAUUGCAUCAUCCUAGAAAACUUGGAGGCCAGUGAGGACAAAAAUAAAAAGUUAUAAGACUUUUAAAUAUGUGGAUUUUAGGGUUAUCUUUGGCGCCCCCUAGAACCUAAACCGUGGGGUGCAGCGUCAUGAUUUGAAUAACUUUUAAUGGCCAUGGGGUGUAGAUUGGCCUGAGCAAAUGUGGUGCCGGUGGAACAAAAGCCUUCGGAGGAGUUAGCGAAAUUCCAAUGUGUACGGAUCGCCAAAAAAUGCGAAAUAGCCCUUAAACCGUACAUUUGACAGAUACGCCCGCACUGACUUUUUUGUAGAUCUUAUUGAGAUACAUAUGUGUGUCAAAUUUUGUGUCAUUUUGACAAAGCGUACAGGCGUGACAGUCAAUAGUGUGAAUUUCCACCUUAGGGGGCGCUAUGGAGCCAUUUUGCAUUUUAUUGUUUGGGCGACUUCAGAAUAUCAAAUUUUUCACCAGGCCCGGUCGUCCUGCCAAAUUUCAUGAGUUUUCGCCAGUGGGAAGUGGGCCAUUUUCCAGUUCAAAGGGGAGGAAAAAUAAUAAUAAUAAUAAUAACAAAAGAAGGAAACAUGCAGGAACAAGAGGGCUCUCGCAGCUGCUUAGCAGCUACGCUCGGGCCCUAAAAAGAAAGAAAGAAACAAAGACUAGGACCCCGUUGGGGCACUGUCGGGCCCGAGCCGUGUCGCGCCGCCCCCAGUGCGACCGCCUCCCCCUCCCGAUCGCGUCACACUCAAGAUCCAAAGAUGGUGUGCGCACUUGUCUGUGGUCAUUUCCUAUUAUAAUGAAUGGGAGGCGCAGUUUCUACCAAAACACUCGCUGCAGACAAACUUCAUGUCCUAUUUGAAAAAAGUCUGGACCAUGAGUGAGGGCACAAACACAGCUAUGAUAUAUCGAAAUGGCAGGUUGCUCCUCCUUACGGUGUUGCCUGGAGAGCGAUGCGAUUGAGCCAUUGAGCGAUGGGCAGGAAAAAACUUUUUCUCCUGCCAUAUGGGGGGGGGGGGAUGUGGAUUCUUUGAAAUAUGUGGAUUUUUGGGUCAUCUUUGGCGCCCCCUAGAACGUAAACCGUGGGGUGCAGCGUCAUGAUUUUUACAACUUUGAAUGGCCAUGGGGUGUAGAUUGGCCUGAGCAAAUUUGGUGUCAGUGGGACGAAAGCCUUAGGAGGAGUUAGCCACAUUCCAAUGUGUGCGAAUCGGCAAAAAAUGCAAAAUAGCCCUUUAACCGUACAUUUGACAGAUACGCGCUAAUCGACUCUUUUGUAGAUCUUAUUGAGAUACAUAUGUGUGUCAAUUUUUGUGUCAAUAUGAUAAAGCGUACAGGCGUGACAGUCAAUAGUGUGAAUUUCCACCUUAGGGGACAAGAAAAAAUUGGCUUUUUUUUCCUGCCAUGGGGGGGCGCUCUUUUGGGGAGUAAAAAUUCCUUCACAAAUGUGUUGAUGGCUGGACAUUGCAUCAUCCUAGAAAACUUGGAGGCCAGUGAGGACAAAAAUAAAAAGUUAUAAGACUUUUAAAUAUGUGGAUUUUAGGGUUAUCUUUGGCGCCCCCUAGAACCUAAACCGUGGGAUGCAGCGUCAUGAUUUGAAUAACUUUUAAUGGCCAUGGGGUGUAGAUUGGCCUGAGCAAAUGUGGUACCGGUGGAAUGAAAGCCUUCGGAGGAGUUAGCGAAAUUCCAAUGUGUGCGGAUCGGCAAAAAAUGCGGAAUAACCCUUUAACCGUACAUUUGACAGAUACGCGCGCAUUGACUUUUUCGUAGAUCUUAUUGAGAUACAUGUGUGUGUCAAUUUUUGUGUCAUUUUGCCAAAGCGUACAGGUGUUACACUCAACAAUGUGUAUUUUCGCCUUAGGGGACAAGAAAAAAUGGACUUUUUUCUCCUGCCAUGGGGGGGCGCUCUUUUGGGGAGUAAAAAUUCCUUCACAAAUGUGUUGAUGGCUGGACAUUGCAUCAUCCUAGAAAACUUGGAGGCCAGUGAGGGCAAAAAUAAAAAGUUAUAAGACUUUUAAAUAUGUGGAUCUUAGGGUUAUCUUUGGCGCCCCCUAGAACCUAAACCGUGGGGUGCAGCGUCAUGAUUUGAAUAACUUUUAAUGGCCAUGGGGUGUAGAUUGGCCUGAGCAAAUGUGGUGCCGGUGGAACGAAAGCCUUCGGAGGAGUUAGCGAAAUUCCAAUGUGUGCGGAUCGGCAAAAAAUGCUAAAUAACCCUUUAACCGUACAUUUGACAGAUAUGCCCGCACUGACUUUUUUGUAGAUCUUAUUGAGAUACAUGUGUGUGUCAAUUUUUGUGUCAUUUUGACAAAGCGUACAGGCGUGACAGUCAAUAGUGUGAAUUUUCACCUUAGGGGGCGCUAUGGAGCCAUUUUGCAUUUUCUUGUUUGGGCGACUUCGGAAUAUCAAAUUUUUCACCAGGCCCGGUCGUCCUGCCAAAUUUCAUGAGUUUUCGCCAGUGGGAAGUGGGCCAUUUUCCAGUUCAAAGGGGAGGAAAAAUAAUAACUAGGGCCCCGUUGGGGCACUGGCGGGCCCGAGCCGUGUCGCGCUGCCCCCCCCAACGCGCUGCCUCCCCGUCCCAUUCGCGUCCUCUGGCCAUCGUCCUCUCUGGUAACGCCCAUCACUGCAAAGACCCUUUCCUUCAUCGGCGUUUGCUGUUCUUCCUGCCAGUGCGUGUUGCUUUCACUUACACUUGCCACAGCCAGCCUCGUGAGUGCCUAGCCUAUUGGAUAUCACUGUCAUCUACACAGGACAGUCAUAACCUUUCUAUUAAUACUUUGUUUUUUAAUUUCACAUUAAUUUCCAUAUUGUAUAAAUGACUGGAAAAAACUUGAGCCCCUGCCCCUGUAUAAUCAUGUGCACGUCCCUGUUCUAGCUCCAAGGUGAAUCUUCACUGCUCAUGUUCUCCUCAGAAAUAGUCACCUCACUCCCCUCAGGUUACUGUACACAUGCACCAACUAUCUGCUUCAGGUUUGGAUGGAGCUUCAUGGUUGUCUUUUGGAGAAAUGAACAGUCAAGUUGUGUUUGAAAUUUGAUUUUUUUCAGGGGCAAAAGGAAGCCUCUGCAUUCUUGUCAAAUAUGUAAACAGCAUGUUUUUGCAGGUGCUAAAAAACAGACUCUGAGUGUGUGUGUGUGUGUGUGUGUGUGUGUGUGUGUGUGUGUGUGUGUGUGUUGGCGUGUGUGUAUAUGUGUGUGUAUCCUGCAGUACUCUGUACUCCUGCAGUGGCCAAAAAGACUUUUAAGAAUGUGGAUUUUUGGGUCAUCUUUGGCGCCCCCUAGAACUGCAGUACUCUGUACUCCUGCAGUGGCCAAAAUGACUUUUAAGAAUGUGGAUUUUUGGGUCAUCUUUGGCGCCCCCUAGAACGUAAACCGUGGGGUGCAGCGUCAUGAUUUUUACAACUUUGAAUGGGCAUGGGGUGUAGAUUGCCCUGAGCAAAUUUGGUAUCAGUGGGACGAAAGCCUUAGGAGGAGAUAGCCACAUUCCAAUGUGUGCGAAUCGGCAAAAAAUGCGAAAUAGCCCUUUAACCGUACAUUAUACAGAUACGCGCUCUUUGACUUUUUCGUAGAUCUAAUUGAGAUACACAUGAUUGUCAAUUUUUGUGUCAAUAUGACAAAGCGUUCAGGCGUGACACUCAACAAUGUGUAUUUUCAUGUAAGGGGACAAGAAAAAAUUGACUUUUUUCUCCUGCCAUGGGGGGGCGCUCUUUUGGGGAGUAAAAAUUCCUUCACAAAUGUGUUGAUGGCUGGACAUUGCAUCAUCCUAGAAAACUUGGAGGGCAGUGAGGACAAAAAUAAAAAGUUAUAAGACUUUUAAAAAUGUGGAUUUUUGGGUUAUCUUUGGCGCCCCCUAGAACCUAAACCGUGGGGUGCAGCGUCAUGAUUUGUACAACUUUUAAUGGCCAUGGGGUGUAGACUGGCCUGAGCAAAUGUGGUGCCGGUGGAACGAAAGCCUUCGGAGGAGUUAGCGAAAUUCCAAUGUGUGCGGAUCGGCAAAAAAUGCGAAAUAACCCUUUAACCGUACAUUUGACAGAUACGCCCGCACUGACUUUUUUGUAGAUCUUAUUGAGAUACAUAUGUGUGUCAAUUUUUGUGUCAAUAUGACAAAACGUACAGACGUGACAGUCAAUAGUGUGAAUUUCCACCUUAGGGGGCGCUAUGGAGCCAUUUUGCAUUUUAUUGUUUGGGCGACUUCAGAAUAUUGAAUUUUUCACCAGGCCCGGUCGUCCUGCCAAAUUUCAUGAGUUUUCGCCAGUGGGAAGUGGGCCAUUUUCCAGUUUAAAGCGGAGGAAAAAUAAUAAUAAUAAUAACAAAAGAAGAAUCCAUCAGGAACAAGAGGGCUCUCGCAGCUGCUUAGCAGCUACGCUCGGGCCCUAACUAGGACCCCGUUGGGGCACUGGCGGGCCCGAGCUGUGUCGCGUCCCCGCCCCCAACGCGCUGCCUCCCCGUCCCAUUUGUGUCCUCUGGCCAUCGCCUUCUCUGGUAACGCCCAUCACUGCAAAGACCCUUUUCCUUCAUCGGCGUUUGCUGUUCUUCCUGCCAGUGCGUGUUGCUUUCACUUACACUUGCCACAGCCAGCCUCGUGAGUGCCUAGCCUAUUGGAUAUCACUGUCACCUACACAGGACAGUCAUUACCUUUCUAUUAAUACUUUGUUUUUUAAUUUCACAUUAAUUUCCAUAUUGUAUAAACAACUGGAAAAAACUUGAGCCCCUGCCCCUGUAUAAUCAUGUGCACGUCUCUGUUCUAGCUCUAAGGUGAAUCUUCACUGCUCAUGUUCUCCUCAGAAGCAGUCACCUCACUCCCCUCAGGUUACUGUACACAUGCACCAACUGCCUGCUUCAGGUUUGGAUGGAGCUUCAUGGUUGUCUUUUGGAGAAAUGACCAGUCAAGUUGUGUUUGAAAUUUGAUUUUUUUCAGGGGCAAAAGGAGCCUCUGCAUUCUUGUCAAAUAUGUAAAUAGCAUGUUUUUGCAGGUGCUAAAAACCAGACUCUGAGUGUGUGUGUGUGCGUGUGUGUGUGUGUCUGUGUGUGUGUGUGUGUGUGUGCGUUCAAGUCACAUGACAUAUUUAACCGGAUGUAGCUGCAAGACGGAGCCUCGUUGACUCUCCGUUUCAACUUAUCUCAAAAGUGAGGACCUCAACAUAUAUACCAGUUUUUAAAUUGUGUUGAUAGGCCAAAUAAAACCAGAGUUAUGAUAAAUUAUGUCCGCAAUACUUUUUUUCUGCUUAUUUUGAUCACGUUCGGCGCUCGAUCGCGCUGUAUGAGACAGGAAAACAUAGCAUGCAGACAUUAGCGACAGGUCUUACAGGCGGAAAAGGCUUGCCAAAAGAAAAAAAAAACACACCACAACAUCUCUCCUAUUGGUGGAAAACUUCACCACAACAACCAAUCCAAAAUUAUAUGGUGACUGAUUGACAAGGGGCGGGCGCUUACGUUCUUCCUGCAACAUGAGAAGGGAGGGAGGAACUCUCAGCAGGGAUGCAGUCUGGGACACGUAGUUGCAAACCUAGCGACUUUGUUGUUAGAUUAAAUGACUUUUCAGACCCCCUAACGACUUUUUUUUUAGAAAGAAAGGGACUUUUAUCGACUUCUUCUGGAGUUUAGAGACUCUGACAUGAAGCAGGCUUUCCUUACUGAGGAGUUAGCAACGCUGCUAAGGGUGCAGAGUCACACAUGCGCUCCGAGCUCUGCAUGGGAGACUAAAGCUGACAGAGCUGCAGCAGUUAGCAGGUUUCACCCUCAGAGACCACCAGGGGUUCAUGUUGAGGCAUUUUCAGUUUUUUUUUUUUUUUUUGCCAUAGACACUGUCAGCACAAUCUGCAGUUACACUAACAAAAAUGCUGCAAAAAAAAAAGAAUUAUGGAAAAAUUACACAUGGACUGACAUAGAGGAGGAUCUACACAAGUUUUUUACAUCAUGUUUUACAUCAUGCAUCAUUUACAUCAUGUUUUUUUGUAGUGGCAUGAAUAAAAAGUGACAUUUGUGAGACUAUACAGUGUUUUGUAAAUAAUUUUACAAAGAACGCCUGAGCCAUUGCCUGCAUUUUGAUGUAAAUAGAGGUAAAUUACUAUGUUCUUUGUUAAAAAUUUGCAUAUGUUUUGAAGUUUACAAUUUUUAUUUGAAGUUUAAGUUUUAAAAACAGUUCAUCACACAUAUUUGUGGUUUAAUUUCACAUGAAUUUCCAUAUUGUAUAAAUGACUGGAAAAAACUUGAGCCCCUGCCCCUGUAUAAUCAUGUGCACGUCCCUGUUCUAGCUCCAAGGUGAAUCUUCACUGCUCAUGUUCUCCUCAGAAAUAGUCACCUCACUCCCCUCAGGUUACUGUACACAUGCACCAACUAUCUGCUUCAGGUUUGGAUGGAGCUUCAUGGUUGUCUUUUGGAGAAAUGAACAGUCAAGUUGUGUUUGAAAUUUGAUUUUUUUCAGGGGCAAAAGCCUCUGCAUUCUUGUCAAAUAUGUAAACAGCAUGUUUUUGCAGGUGCUAAAAAACAGACUCUGAGUGUGUGUGUGUGUGUGUGUGUGUGUGUGUGUGUGUGUGUGUGUGUGUGUGUGUGUGUGUGUGUUGGCGUGUGUGUUGGCGUGUGUGUAUCCUGCAGUACUCUGUACUCCUGCAGUGGCCAAAAAGACUUUUAAGAAUGUGGAUUUUUGGGUCAUCUUUGGCGCCCCCUAGAACUGCAGUACUCUGUACUCCUGCAGUGGCCAAAAUGACUUUUAAGAAUGUGGAUUUUUGGGUCAUCUUUGGCGCCCCCUAGAACGUAAACCGUGGGGUGCAGCGUCAUGAUUUUUACAACUUUGAAUGGGCAUGGGGUGUAGAUUGCCCUGAGCAAAUUUGGUAUCGGUGGGACGAAAGCCUUAGGAGGAGAUAGCCACAUUCCAAUGUGUGCGAAUCGGCAAAAAAUGCAAAAUAGCCCUUUAACCGUACAUUAUACAGAUACGCGCUCUUUGACUUUUUCGUAGAUCUAAUUGAGAUACACAUGAUUGUCAAUUUUUGUGUCAAUAUGACAAAGCGUUCAGGCGUGACACUCAACAAUGUGUAUUUUUAUGUAAGGGGACAAGAAAAAAUUGACUUUUUUCUCCUACCAUGGGGGGGCGCUCUUUUGGGGAGUAAAAAUUCCUUCACAAAUGUGUUGAUGGCUGGACAUUGCAUCAUCCUAGAAAACUUGGAGGCCAGUGAGGACAAAAAUAAAAAGUUAUAAAACAUUUAAGAAUGUGGAUUUUUGGGUUAUUUUUGGCGCCCCCUAGAACCUAAACCAUGGGGUGCAGCAUCAUGAUUUGAAUAACUUUUAAUGGCCAUGGGGUGUAGAUUGGCCUGAGCAAAUGUGGUGCCGGUGGAACGAAAGCCUUCGGAGGAGUUAGCGAAAUUCCAAUGUGUGCGUAUCGGCAAAAAAUGCGGAAUAACCCUUUAACUGUACAUUUGACAGAUACGCGCGCAUGGACUUUUUUGUAGAUCUUAUUGAGAUACAUGUGUGUGUCAAUUUUUGUGUCAUUUUGACAAAGCGUAUAGGCGUGACACUCAACAAUGUGUAUUUUCACCUUAGGGGACAAGAAAAAAUGGACUUUUUUCUCCUGCCAUGGGGGGGCGCUCUUUUGGGGAGUAAAAAUUCCUUCACAAAUGUGUUGAUGGCUGGACAUUGCAUCAUCCUAGAAAACUUGGAGGCCAGUGAGGACAAAAAUAAAAAGUUAUAAGACUUUUAAAUAUGUGGAUUUUAGUGUUAUCUUUGGCGCCCCCUAGAACCUAAACCUUGGGGUGCAGCGUCAUGAUUUUGAUAACUUUUAAUGGCCACGGGGUGUAGAUUGGCCUGAGCAAAUGUGGUGCCGGUGGAACGAAAGCCUUCGGAGGAGUUAGCGAAAUUCCAAUGUGUGCGGAUCGGCAAAAAAUGCGAAAUAACCCUUUAACCGUAAUUUUGACAGAUACGGCCGCACUGACUUUUUUGUAGAUCUUAUUGAGAUACAUAUGUGUGUCAAUUUUUGUGUCAAUAUGACAAAGCGUACAGGCGUGACAGUCAAUAGUGUGAAUUUCCACCUUAGGGGGCGCUAUGGAGCCAUUUUGCAUUUUAUUGUUUGGGCGACUUCAGAAUAUCGAAUUUUUCACCAGGCCCGGUCGUCCUGCCAAAUUUCAUGAGUUUUCGCCAGUGGGAAGUGGGCCAUUUUCCAGUUCAAAGGGGAGGAAAAAGAAGAAACUAGGGCCCCGUUGGGGCACUGGCGGGCCCGAGCCGUGUCGCGCCGCCCCCAACACGACCGCCUCUCCCUACCGAUCGCGUCACACUCAAGGUCCAAAGAUGGUGUGCGCACUUGUCUGUGGUCAUUUACAAUUAUAAUGAAUGGGAGGCGCAGUUUCUACCAAAACGCUCGCCGCAGACAAACUACAUGUCCUAUUUGAAAAGGACUGGACCAUGAGUGAGGGCACAAACACAGCUAGGAUAUAUCCAAAUGGCAAGUUGCUCCUCCUUUCGGUUUUGCCGAGAGAGCGAUGUGUUUGAGUCAUUGAGCGAUGGGCAGGAAAAACUUGACUUUUUCUCCUGCCAUGGGGGGGCGCUCUUUUAGGGAGUAAAAAUUCCUUCACAAAUGUGUUGAUGGCUAGACAUUGCAUCAUCCUAGAAAACUUGGAGGCCAGUGAGGACAAAAAUAAAAAGUUAUAAGACUUUUAAGAAUGUGGAUUUUUGGGUUAUAUUUGGCGCCCCCUAGAACAUAAACUGUGGGGUGCAGCGUCAUGAUUUUUACAACUUUGAAUGGCCAUGGAAUGUAGAUUGGCCUGAGUAAAUUUGGUGUCAGUGGAACGAAAUAUUUAGGAGGAGUUAGCCACAUUCCAAUGUGUGCGAAUCGACCAAAAAUGCGAAAUAGCCCUUUAACCGUACAUUUUACAGAUACGCGCCCAUUGACUAUUUCGUAGAUCUUAUUGAGAAACACGUGAUUGUCAAAGUUUGUUACAAUAUGACAAAGCGUACAGGCGUGACACUCAAUAAUGUGAAUUUUCACCUUAGGGGGAAGAAAAACUGGACUUUUUUCUCCUGCCAUGGGGGGGCGCUCUUUUGGGGAGUAAAAAUUCCUUCACAAAUGUGUUGAUGGCUAGACAUUGCAUCAUCCUAGAAAACUUGGAGGCCAGUGAGGACAAAAAUAAAAAGUUAUACGACUUUUAAGAAUGUGGAUUUCUGGGUUAUCUUUGGCGCCCCCUAGAACGUAAACCGUGGGAUGCAGCGUCAUGAUUUGUACAACUUUUAAUGGCCAUGGGGUGUAGAUUGGCCUGAGCAAAUUUGGUGCCGGUGGAACGAAAGCCUUCGGAGGAGUUAGCGAAAUUCCAAUGUGUGCGGAUCGGCAAAAAAUGCGAAAUAGCCCUUUAACCGUACAUUUGACAGAUACGCCCGCACUGACUUUUUUGUAGAUCUUAUUGAGAUACACGUGUGUGUCAAAUUUUGUGUCAUUUUGACAAAGCGUACAGGCGUGACACUCAAUCAUGUGAAUUUUUCACCUUAGGGGGCGCUAUGGAGCCAUUUUGCAUUUGAUUUUUUGGGCGACUUCAGAAUAUCGAAUUUUUCACCAGGCCCGGUCGUCCUGCCAAAUUUCAUGACUUUUCACCAGUGGGAAGUGGGCCAUUUUCCAGUUCAAAGGGGCAGAAAAAUAAUAAGAAGAAGAAGAAGAAAGAAGAAUCCAUCAGGAAUAAUAGGGCUCUCGCAGCUGCUUAGCAGCUACGCUCGGGCCCUAAGAAAGAAAGAAAGAAAGAAACAAAGAAAAACCACUUGGGGAAUAAUAGGGCCUACGCCCGGCUGCUCUGCAGCUGGCUCGGGCCCUAAAGAAAGAAAGAAACAAAGAAAAACCACUUGGGGAAUAAUAGGGCCUACGCCCGGCUGCUCUGCAGCUGGCUCGGGCCCUAAUAACAAAAGAAGGAAACAUGCAGGAACAAGAGGGCUCUCGCAGCUGCUUAGCAGCUACGCUCGGGCCCUAAAAAACCCCUUGGGGAAUAAUAGGGCUCUCGCAGCUGCUUAGCAGCUACGCUCGGGCCCUAAAAAGAAAGAAAGAAACAAAGAAAAACCACUUGGGGAAUAAUAGGGCCUACGCCCGGCUGCUCUGCAGCUGGCUCGGGCCCUAAAAAACCACUUGGGGAAUAAUAGGGCCUACGCCCGGCUGCUCUGCAGCUGGCUCGGGCCCUAAAAAGAAAGAAAGAAACAAAGAAAAACCACUUGGGGAAUAAUAGGGCCUACGCCCGGCUGCUCUGCAGCUGGCUCGGGCCCUAAAAAGAAACAAAGAAAAACCACUUGGGGAAUAAUAGGGCUCUCGCAGCUGCUUAGCAGCUACGCUCGGGCCCUAAUAACAAAAGAAGGAAACUACAGGAACAAGAGGGCUCUCGCAGCUGCUUAGCAGCUACGCUCGGGCCCUAAAAAACCACUUGGGGAAUAAUAGGGCCUACGCCCGGCUGCUCAGCAGCUGGCUCGGGCCCUAACUAGGACCCCGUUGGGGCACUGGCGGGCCCGAGCCGUGUCGCGUCCCCCCCCCCAACGUGCUGCCUCCCCGUCCCAUUUGUGUCCUCUGGCCAUCGCCCUCUCUGGUAACGCCCAUCACUGCAAAGACCCUUUUCCUUCAUCGGCGUUUGCUGUUCUUCCUGCCAGUGCGUGUUGCUAAAACCAGACUCUAAGUGUGUGUGUGUGUGUGUGUGUGUGUGUGUGUGUGUGUGUGUGUGUGUGUGUGCGUGUGUGUGUGUCUGUGUGUGCGUUCAAGUCACAUGACAUAUUUAACCGGAUGUAGCUGCAAGAUGGAGCCUCGUUGACUCUCCGUUUCAACUUAUCUCAAAAGUGACGACCUCAACCUAUAUACCAGUUUUUAAAUUGUGUUGAUAGGCCAAAUAAAACCAGAGUUAUGAUAAAUUAUGUCCGCGAUACUUUUUUUCUGCUUAUUUUGAUCACGUUCGGCGCUCGAUCGCGCUGUAUGAGACAGGAAAACAUAGCAUGCAGACAUUAGCGACAGGUCUUACAGGCGGAAAAGGCUUGCCAAAAGAAAAAAAAAACACACCACAACAUCUCUCCUAUUGGUGGAAAACUUCACCACAACAACCAAUCCAAAAUUAUAUGGUGACUGAUUGACAAGGGGCGGGCGCUUACGUUCUUCCUGCAACAUGAGAAGGGAGGGAGGGACUCUCAGCAGGGAUGCAGUCUGGGACACGUAGUUGCAAACCUAGCGACUUUGUUGUUAGAUUCAAUGACUUUUCAGACCCCCUAACGACUUUUUUUUAGAAAGAAAGGGACUUUUAUCGACUUCUUCUGGAGUUUAGAGACUCUGACAUGAAGCAGGCUUUCCUUACUGAGGCGUUAGCAACGCUGCUAAGGGUGCAGAGCCACACAUGCGCUCAGAGCUCUGCAUGGGAGACUGAAGCUGACAGAGCUGCAGCAGUUGGCAGGUUUCACCCUCAGAGACCACCAGGGGUUCAUGUUGAGGCAUUUUAAUUUUUUUUUUUUUUGUGCCAUAGACACUGUCAGGACAAUCUGCAGUUACACUAACAAAAAUGCUGCAAAAAACAAAGAAUUAUGGAAAAAUUACACAUGGACUGACAUAGAGGAGGAUCUACACAAGUUUUUUACAUCAUGUUUUACAUCAUGCAUCAUUUACAUCAUGUUUUUUUGUAGUGGCAUAAAUAAAAAGUGACAUUUGUGAGACUAUACAGUGUUUUGUAAAUAAUUUUACAAAGAACACCUGGGCCAUUGCCUGCAUUUUGAUGUAAAUAGAGGUAAAUUACUAUGUUCUUUGUUAAAAAUUUGCAUAUGUUUUGAAGUUUACAAUUUUUAUUUGAAGUUUAAGUUUUAAAAACAGUUCAUCACACAUAUUUGUGGUUUUCACAGUAAAAACGUUACUUUUUUCCACUCGGAUUUUAUGUUUUGUGUGUGAAUUUGGGUCCAAUGUGUAAAUAUAGUAUGUCAAAAUGAUAAAAUAACUGUAAAUUGACACAGGUGAGGUUGUGCUGAAAAAAAUGAUACCAGGCAAGGCAAGGUAAAAAUUUUGUAAGAGGAAAUAUAAAGGUAAAAUCUAAAGUAGUCAAAAACGGCCAAUAGUGACUCACAAACUCCACAGACAAGUCCCUUUGGCGCCACUCAGUGGGCAAAACUACUUUGUCUACUGUAAUGUAUAUUUGGGUCAUCUUUGGCGCCCCCUAAAACGUAAACCGUGGGGUGCAGCGUCAUGAUUUUUACAACUUUGAAUGGCCAUGGAGUGUAGAUUGGCCUGAGCAAAUUUGGUGUCAGUGGGACGAAAGCCUUAGGAGGAGUUAGCGAAAUUCCAAUGUGUGCGAAUCGGCAAAAAAUGCAAAAUAGCCCUUUUACCGUACAUUAUACAGAUACGCGCUCUUUGACUUUUUCGUAGAUCUAAUUGAGAUACACAUGAUUGUCAAUUUUUGUGUCAUUUUGCCAAAGCGUACAGGCGUGACAGUCAACAAUGUGUAUUUUCACCUUAGGGGACAAGAAAAAAUGGACUUUUUUCUCCUGCCAUGGGGGGCGCUCUUUUAGGGAGUAAAAAUUCCUUCACAAAUGUGUUGAUGGCUGGACAUUGCAUCAUCCUAGAAAACUUGGAGGCCAGUGAGGGCAAAAAUAAAAAGUUAUAAGACUUUGAAAUAUGUGGAUUUUAGGGUUAUCUUUGGCGCCCCCUAGAACCUAAACCGUGGGGUGCAGCGUCAUGAUUUGAAUAACUUUUAAUGGCCAUGGGGUGUAGAUUGGCCUGAGCAAAUGUGGUGCCGGUGGAACGAAAGCCUUCGGAGGAGUUAGCGAAAUUCCAAUGUGUGCGGAUCGGCAAAAAAUGCGAAAUAACCCUUUAACCGUACAUUUGACAGAUACGCCCGCACUGACUUUUUUGUAGAUCUUAUUGAAAUACAUGUGUGUGUCAAUUUUUGUGUCAUUUUGACAAAGCGUACAGGCGUGACAGUCAAUAGUGUGAAUUUUCACCUUAGGGGGCGCUAUGGAGCCAUUUUGCAUUUUCUUGUUUGGGCGACUUCGGAAUAUCAAAUUUUUCACCAGGCCCGGUCGUCCUGCCAAAUUUCAUGAGUUUUCGCCAGUGGGAAGUGGGCCAUUUUCCAGUUCAAAGGGGAGGAAAAAGAAACUAGGGCCCCGUUGGGGCACUGGCGGGCCCGAGCCGCGUUGCGCCGCCCCCAGUGCGACCGCCUCCCCCUCCCGAUCAUGUCACACUCAAGGUCCAAAGAUGGUGUGCGCACUUGUCUGUGGUCAUUUCCCAUUAUAAUGAAUGGGAGGCGCAGUUUCUACCAAAACACUCGCUGCAGACAAACUACAUGUCCUAUUUGAAAAAAGUCUGGACCAUGAGUGAGGGCACAAACACAUCUAGGAUAUAUCCAAACGGCAAGUUGCUCCUCGUUACGGUGUUGCCGGGAGAGCGAUGCGAUUGAGCCAUUGAGUGAUGGGCAGGAAAAACUUGACUGUUUCUCCUGCCAUGGGGGAUGGGGGAUGGGGGAUGGGGGAUGAGGGGGGGGGGGGGGUGUGGAUUCUUUUAAGAAUGUGGAUAUUUGGGUCAUCUUUGGCGCCCCCUAGAACGUAAACCGUGGGGUGCAGCGUCAUGAUUUUUAAAACUUUGAAUGGCCAUGGGGUGUAGAUUGGCCUGAGCAAAUUUGGUGUCAGUGGGACGAAAGCCUUAGGAGGAGUUAGCCACAUUCCAAUGUGUGCUAAUCGGCAAAAAAUGCAAAAUAGCCCUUUAACCGUACAUUUUACAGAUACGCGCGCAUUGACUUUUUCGUAGAUCUUAUUGAGAUACAUGUGUGUGUCAAAUUUUGUGUCAAUAUGACAAAGCAUACAGGUAUGACAGUCAACAAUGUGUAUUUUCACCUUAUGGGACAAGAAAAAAUGGACUUUUUUCUCCUGCCAUGGGGGGGCGCUCUUUUGGGGAGUAAAAAUUCCUUCACAAAUGUGUUGAUGGCUGGACAUUGCAUCAUCCUAGAAAACUUGGAGGCCAGAGAGGACAAAAAUAAAAAGUUAUAAGACUUUUAAAUAUGUGGGUUUUAGGGUUAUCUUUGGCGCCCCCUAGAACCUAAACCGUGGGGUGCAGCGUCAUGAUUUGAAUAACUUUUAAUGGCCAUGGGGUGUAGAUUGGCCUGAGCAAAUGUGGUGCCGGUGGAACGAAAGCCUUCGGAGGAGUUAGCGAAAUUCCAAUGUGUGCGGAUCGGCAAAAAAUGCGCAAUAACCCUUUAACCGUACAUUUGACAGAUACGCCCGCACUGACUUUUUUGUAGAUCUUAUUGAGAUACAUGUGUGUGUCAAUUUUUGUGUAAUUUUGACAAAGCGUACAGGCGUGACAGUCAAUAGUGUGAAUUUUCACCUUAUGGGACAAGAAAAAAUGGACUUUUUUCUCCUGCCAUGGGGGGGCGCUCUUUUGGGGAGUAAAAAUUCCUUCACAAAUGUGUUGAUGGCUGGACAUUGCAUCAUCCUAGAAAACUUGGAGGCCAGUGAGGGCAAAAAUAAAAAGUUAUAAGACUUUGAAAUAUGUGGAUUUUAGGGUUAUCUUUGGCGCCCCCUAGAACCUAAACCGUGGGGUGCAGCGUCAUGAUUUGAAUAACUUUUAAUGGCCAUUGGGUGUAGAUUGGCCUGAGCAAAUGUGGUGCCGGUGGAACGAAAGCCUUCGGAGGAGUUAGCGAAAUUCCAAUGUGUGCGGAUCGGCAAAAAAUGCGCAAUAACCCUUUAACCGUACAUUUGACAGAUACGCCUGCACUGACUUUUUUGUAGAUCUUAUUGAGAUACAUGUGUGUGUCAAUUUUUGUGUCAUUUUGACAAAGCGUACAGGCGUCAGGUGAAUUUUUCACCUUAGGGGGCGCUAUGGAGCCAUUUUGCAUUGUAUUGUUUGGGCGACUUCAGAAUAUCAAAUUUUUCACCAGGCCCGGUCGUCCUGCCAAAUUUCAUGAGUUUUCGCCAGUGGGAAGUGGGCCAUUUUCCAGUUCAAAGGGGAGGAAAAAGAAACUAGGACCCCGUUGGGGCACUGGCGGGCCCGAGCCGUGUCGCGUCCCCCCCCCCCAACGUGCUGCCUCCCCGUCCCAUUUGUAACCUCUGGCCAUCGCCCUCUCUGGUAACGCCCAUCACUGCAAAGACCCUUUUCCUUCAUCGGCGUUUGCUGUUCUUCCUGCCAGUGCGUGUUGCUUUCACUUACACUUGCCACAGCCAGCCUCGUGAGUGCCUAGCCUAUUGGAUAUCACUGUCACCUACACAGGACAGUCAUUACCUUUCUAUUAAUACUUUGUGUUUUAAUUUCACAUUAAUUUCCAUAUUGUAUAAACGACUGGAAAAAACUUGAGCCCCUGCCCCUGUAUAAUCAUGUGCAUGUCUCUGUUCUAGCUCCAAGGUGAAUCUUCACUGCUCAUGUUCUCCUCAGAAGCACUCACCUCACUCCCCUCAGGUUACUGUACACAUGCACCAACUGCCUGCUUCAGGUUUGGAUGGAGCUUCAUGGUUGUCUUUUGGAGAAAUGACCAGUCAAGUUGUGUUUGAAAUUUGAUUUUUUUCAGGGGCAAAAGGAGCCUCUGCAUUCUUGUCAAAUAUGUAAAUAGCAUAUUUUUGCAGGUGCUAAAAACCAGACUCUGAGUGUGUGUGUGUGUGUGUGUGUGUGUGUGUGUGUGUGUGUGUGCGUGUGUGUGUGUCUAUGUGUGCGUUCAAGUCACAUGACAUAUUUAACCUGAUGUAGCUGCAAGACGGAGCCUCGUUGACUCUCCAUUUCAACUUAUCUCAAAAGUGAGGACCUCAACCUAUAUACCAGUUUUUAAAUUGUGUUGAUAGGCCAAAUAAAACCAGAGUUAUGAUAAAUUAUGUCCGCGAUACUUUUUUUCUGCUUAUUUUGAUCACGUUCGGCGCUCGAUCGCGCUGUAUGAGACAGGAAAACAUAGCAUGCAGACAUUAGCGACAGGUCUUACAGGCGGAAAAGGCUUGCCAAAAGAAAAAAAAAACACACCACAACAUCUCUCCUAUUGGUGGAAAACUUCACCACAACAACCAAUCCAAAAUUAUAUGGUGACUGAUUGACAAGGGGCGGGCGCUUACGUUCUUCCUGCAACAUGAGAAGGGAGGGAGGGACUCUCAGCAGGGAUGCAGUCUGGGACACGUAGUUGCAAACCUAGCGACUUUGUUGUUAGAUUCAAUGACUUUUCAGACCCCCUAACGACUUUUUUUUAGAAAGAAAGGGACUUUUAUCGACCUCUUCUGGAGUUUAGAGACUCUGACAUGAAGCAGGCUUUCCUUACUGAGGAGUUAGCAACGCUGCUAAGGGUGCAGAGCCACACAUGCGCUCAGAGCUCUGCAUGGGAGACUGAAGCUGACAGAGCUGCAGCAGUUAGCAGGUUUCACCCUCAGAGACCACCAGGGGUUCAUGUUGAGGCAUUUUAAUUUUUUUUUUUUUGUGCCAUAGACACUGUCAGCAAAAUCUGCAGUUACACUAACAAAAAUGCUGCAAAAAACAAAGAAUUAUGGAAAAAUUACACAUGGACUGACAUAGAGGAGGAUCUACACAAGUUUUUUACAUCAUGUUUUACAUCAUGCAUCAUUUACAUCAUGUUUUUUUGUAGUGGCAUAAAUAAAAAGUGACAUUUGUGAGACUAUACAGUGUUUUGUAAAUAAUUUUACAAAGAACGCCUUGGCCAUUGCCUGCAUUUUGAUGUAAAUAGAGGUAAAUUACUAUGUUCUUUGUUAAAAAUUUGCAUAUGUUUUGAAGUUUACAAUUUUUAUUUGAAGUUUAAGUUUUAAAAACAGUUCAUCACACAUAUUUGUGGUUUAAUUUCACAUUAAUUUCCAUAUUGUAUAAAUGACUGGAAAAAACUUGAGCCCCUGCCCCUGUAUAAUCAUGUGCACGUCCCUGUUCUAGCUCCAAGGUGAAUCUUCACUGCUCAUGUUCUCCUCAGAAAUAGUCACCUCACUCCCCUCAGGUUACUGUACACAUGCACCAACUAUCUGCUUCAGGUUUGAAAUGGAGCUUCAUGGUUGUCUUUUGGAGAAAUGAACAGUCAAGUUGUGUUUGAAAUUUGAUUUUUUUCAGGGGCAAAAGGAAGCCUCUGCAUUCUUGUCAAAUAUGUAAACAGCAUGUUUUUGCAGGUGCUAAAAAACAGACUCUGAGUGUGUGUGUGUGUCUGUGUGUGUGUGUGUGUGUGUGUGUGUGUGUGUGUGUGUGUGUGUGUGUGUGUGUGUGUGUAUGUUGGCGUGUGUGUAUAUGUGUGUGUAUCCUGCAGUACUCUGUACUCCUGCAGUGGCCAAAAAGACUUUUAAGAAUGUGGAUUUUUGGGUCAUCUUUGGCGCCCCCUAGAACUGCAGUACUCUGUACUCCUGCAGUGGCCAAAAUGACUUUUAAGAAUGUGGAUUUUUGGGUCAUCUUUGGCGCCCCCUAGAACGUAAACCGUGGGGUGCAGCGUCAUGAUUUUUACAACUUUGAAUGGGCAUGGGGUGUAGAUUGCCCUGAGCAAAUUUGGUAUCGGUGGGACGAAAGCCUUAGGAGGAGAUAGCCACAUUCCAAUGUGUGCGAAUCGGCAAAAAAUGCAAAAUAGCCCUUUAACCGUACAUUAUACAGAUACGCGCUCUUUGACUUUUUCGUAGAUCUAAUUGAGAUACACAUGAUUGUCAAUUUUUGUGUCAAUAUGACAAAGCGUUCAGGCGUGACACUCAACAAUGUGUAUUUUUAUGUAAGGGGACAAGAAAAAAUUGACUUUUUUCUCCUACCAUGGGGGGCGCUCUUUUGGGGAGUAAAAAUUCCUUCACAAAUGUGUUGAUGGCUGGACAUUGCAUCAUCCUAGUAAACUUGGAGGCCAGUGAGGACAAAAAUAAAAAGUUAUAAAACAUUUAAGAAUGUGGAUUUUUGGGUUAUUUUUGGCGCCCCCUAGAACCUAAACCAUGGGGUGCAGCAUCAUGAUUUGAAUAACUUUUAAUGGCCAUGGGGUGUAGAUUGGCCUGAGCAAAUGUGGUGCCGGUGGAACGAAAGCCUUCGGAGGAGUUAGCGAAAUUCCAAUGUGUGCGUAUCGGCAAAAAAUGCGGAAUAACCCUUUAACUGUACAUUUGACAGAUACGCGCGCAUGGACUUUUUUGUAGAUCUUAUUGAGUUACAUGUGUGUGUCAAUUUUUGUGUCAUUUUGACAAAGCGUAUAGGCGUGACACUCAACAAUGUGUAUUUUCACCUUAGGGGACAAGAAAAAAUGGACUUUUUUCUCCUGCCAUGGGGGGGCGCUCUUUUGGGGAGUAAAAAUUCCUUCACAAAUGUGUUGAUGGCUGGACAUUGCAUCAUCCUAGAAAACUUGGAGGCCAGUGAGGACAAAAAUAAAAAGUUAUAAGACUUUUAAAUAUGUGGAUUUUAGUGUUAUCUUUGGCGCCCCCUAGAACCUAAACCUUGGGGUGCAGCGUCAUGAUUUUGAUAACUUUUAAUGGCCACGGGGUGUAGAUUGGCCUGAGCAAAUGUGGUGCCGGUGGAACGAAAGCCUUCGGAGGAGUUAGCGAAAUUCCAAUGUGUGCGGAUCUGCAAAAAAUGCGAAAUAACCCUUUAACCGUAAUUUUGACAGAUACGGCCGCACUGACUUUUUUGUAGAUCUUAUUGAGAUACAUAUGUGUGUCAAUUUUUGUGUCAAUAUGACAAAGCGUACAGGCGUGACAGUCAAUAGUGUGAAUUUCCACCUUAGGGGGCGCUAUGGAGCCAUUUUGCAUUUUAUUGUUUGGGCGACUUCAGAAUAUCGAAUUUUUCACCAGGCCCGGUCGUCCUGCCAAAUUUCAUGAGUUUUCGCCAGUGGGAAGUGGGCCAUUUUCCAGUUCAAAGGGGAGGAAAAAGAAGAAAGAAAGAAAGAACUAGGGCCCCGUUGGGGCACUGGCGGGCCCGAGCCGUGUCACGCCGCCCCCAGCACGACCGCCUCCCCCACCCGAUCGCGUCACACUCAAGGUCCAAAGAUGGUGUGCGCACUUGUUUGUGGUCAUUUACCAUUAUAAUGAACGGGAGGCGCAGUUUCUACCAAAACGCUCGCUGCAGAAAAACUCCAUGUCCUAUUUGAAAAAAGUCUGGACCAUGAGUGAGGGCACAAACACAGCUAAGAUAUAUCCAAAUGGCAAGUUGCUCCUCCUUUUGCUUUUGCCGAGAGAGCAGUGCGUUUGAGCCAUUGAAUGAUGAACAGGAAAAACUUGACUUUAUUCUCCUGCCAUGGGGGGGCGCUCUUUUAACGAGAAAAAACUCCUUCACAAAUGUGUUGAUGGCUGGACAUUGCAUCAUCCUAGAAAACUUGGAGGCCAGUGGGGACAAAAAUAAAAAGUUAUAAGACUUUGAAAUAUGUGGAUUUUAGGGUUAUCUUUGGCGCCCCCUAGAACCUAAACCGUGGGGUGCAGCAUCAUGAUUUGAAUAACUUUUAAUGGCCAUGGGGUGUAGAUUGGCCUGAGCAAAUGUGGUGCCGGUGGAACGAAAGCCUUCGGAGGAGUUAGCGAAAUUCCAAUGUGUGCGAAUCUGCAAAAAAUGCGAAAUAACCCUUUAACCGUACAUUUUACAGAUACGUGGCCAUUGACUUUUUCGAAGAUCUUAUUGAAAGACACGUGUAUGUAAAAUUUUGUGUCAAUACGACAAAACAUACAGGCGUAGCACUCAACAAUGUGUAUUUUCACCUUAGUGGACAAGAAAAAAUGGACUUUUUUCUCCUGCCAUGGGGGGCGCUCUUUUGGCGAGUAAAAAUUCCUUCACAAAUGUGUUGAUGGCUGGACAUUGCAUCAUCCUAGAAAACUUGGAGGCCAGUGGGGACAAAAAUAAAAAGUUAUAAGACUUUUAAAUAUGUGGAUUUUAGGGUUAUCUUUGGCGCCCCCUAGAACCUAAACCGUGGGGUGCAGCGUCAUGAUUUGAAUAACUUUUAAUGGCCAUGGGGUGUAGAUUGGCCUGAGAAAAUGUGGUGCCGGUGGAACGAAAGCCUUCAGAGGAGUUAGCGAAAUUCCAAUGUGUGCGGAUCGGCAAAAAAUGCGGAAUAACCCUUUAACCGUACAUUUGACAGAUAUGCGCGCAUUGACUUUUUCGUAGAUCUUAUUGAGAUACAUGUGUGUGUCAAUUUUUGUGUCAUUUUGCCAAAGCGUACAGGUGUUACACUCAACAAUGUGUAUUUUCACCUUAGGGGACAAGAAAAAAUGGACUUUUUUCUCCUGCCAUGGGGGGGCGCUCUUUUGGGGAGUAAAAAUUCCUUCACAAAUGUGUUGAUGGCUGGACAUUGCAUCAUCCUAGAAAACUUGGAGGCCAGUGAGGGCAAAAAUAAAAAGUUAUAAGACUUUUAAAUAUGUGGAUCUUAGGGUUAUCUUUGGCGCCCCCUAGAACUUAAACCGUGGGGUGCAGCGUCAUGAUUUGAAUAACUUUUAAUGGCCAUGGGGUGUAGAUUGGCCUGAGCAAAUGUGGUGCCGGUGGAACGAAAGCCUUCGGAGGAGUUAGCGAAAUUCCAAUGUGUGCGGAUCGGCAAAAAAUGCGAAAUAACCCUUUAACCGUACAUUUGACAGAUACGCCCGCACUGACUUUUUUGUAGAUCUUAUUGAGAUACAUGUGUGUGUCAAUUUUUGUGUCAUUUUGACAAAGCGUACAGGCGUCAGGUGAAUUUUUCACCUUAGGGGGCGCUAUGGAGCCAUUUUGCAUUGUAUUGUUUGGGCGACUUCAGAAUAUCAAAUUUUUCACCAGGCCCGGUCGUCCUGCCAAAUUUCAUGAGUUUUCGCCAGUGGGAAGUGGGCCAUUUUCCAGUUCAAAGGGGAGGAAAAAGAAACUAGGACCCCGUUGGGGCACUGGCGGGCCCGAGCCGUGUCGCGUCCCCCCCCCUAACGUGCUGCCUCCCCGUCCCAUUUGUGUCCUCUGGCCAUCGCCCUCUCUGUUAACGCCCAUCACUGCAAAGACCCUUUUCCUUCAUCGGCGUUUGCUGUUCUUCCUGCCAGUGCGUGUUGCUUUCACUUACACUUGCCACAGCCAGCCUCGUGAGUGCCUAGCCUAUUGGAUAUCACUGUCACCUACACAGGACAGUCAUUACCUUUCUAUUAAUACUUUGUGUUUUAAUUUCACAUUAAUUUCCAUAUUGUAUAAACGACUGGAAAAAACUUGAGCCCCUGCCCCUGUAUAAUCAUGUGCAUGUCUCUGUUCUAGCUCCAAGGUGAAUCUUCACUGCUCAUGUUCUCCUCAGAAGCACUCACCUCACUCCCCUCAGGUUACUGUACACAUGCACCAACUGCCUGCUUCAGGUUUGGAUGGAGCUUCAUGGUUGUCUUUUGGAGAAAUGACCAGUCAAGUUGUGUUUGAAAUUUGAUUUUUUUCAGGGGCAAAAGGAGCCUCUGCAUUCUUGUCAAAUAUGUAAAUAGCAUGUUUUGCAGGUGCUAAAAACCAGACUCUGAGUGUGUGUGUGUGUGUGUGUGUGUGUGUGUGCGUGUGUCUGUGUGUGCGUUCAAGUCACAUGACAUAUUUAACCGGAUGUAGCUGCAAGACGGAGCCUCGUUGACUCUCCGUUUCAACUUAUCUCAAAAGUGAGGACCUCAACCUAUAUACCAGUUUUUAAAUUGUGUUGAUAGGCCAAAUAAAACCAGAGUUAUGAUAAAUUAUGUCCGCGAUACUUUUUUUCUGCUUAUUUUGAUCACGUUCGGCGCUCGAUCGCGCUGUAUGAGACAGGAAAACAUAGCAUGCAGACAUUAGCGACAGGUCUUACAGGCGGAAAAGGCUUGCCAAAAGAAAAAAAAAACACACCACAACAUCUCUCCUAUUGGUGGAAAACUUCACCACAACAACCAAUCCAAAAUUAUAUGGUGACUGAUUGACAAGGGGCGGGCGCUUACGUUCUUCCUGCAACAUGAGAAGGGAGGGAGGGACUCUCAGCAGGGAUGCAGUCUGGGACACGUAGUUGCAAACCUAGCGACUUUGUUGUUAGAUUCAAUGACUUUUCAGACCCCCUAACGACUUUUUUUUAGAAAGAAAGUGACUUUUAUCGACUUCUUCUGGAGUUUAGAGACUCUGACAUGAAGCAGGCUUUCCUUACUGAGGAGUUAGCAAUGCUGCUAAGGGUGCAGAGCCACACAUGCGCUCAGAGCUCUGCAUGGGAGACUGAAGCUGACAGAGCUGCAGCAGUUAGCAGGUUUCACCCUCAGAGACCACCAGGGGUUCAUGUUGAGGCAUUUUAAUUUUUUUUUUUUUUGUGCCAUAGACACUGUCAGCACAAUCUGCAGUUACACUAACAAAAAUGCUGCAAAAAACAAAGAAUUAUGGAAAAAUUACACAUGGACUGACAUAGAGGAGGAUCUACACAAGUUUUUUACAUCAUGUUUUACAUCAUGCAUCAUUUACAUCAUGUUUUUUUGUAGUGGCAUAAAUAAAAAGUGACAUUUGUGAGACUAUACAGUGUUUUGUAAAUAAUUUUACAAAGAACGCCUGGGCCAUUGCCUGCAUUUUGAUGUAAAUAGAGGUAAAUUACUAUGUUCUUUGUUAAAAAUUUGCAUAUGUUUUGAAGUUUACAAUUUUUAUUUGAAGUUUAAGUUUUAAAAACAGUUCAUCACACAUAUUUGUGGUUUAAUUUCACAUUAAUUUCCAUAUUGUAUAAAUGACUGGAAAAAACUUGAGCCCCUGCCCCUGUAUAAUCAUGUGCACGUCCCUGUUCUAGCUCCAAGGUGAAUCUUCACUGCUCAUGUUCUCCUCAGAAAUAGUCACUUCACUCCCCUCAGGUUACUGUACACAUGCACCAACUAUCUGCUUCAGGUUUGAAAUGGAGCUUCAUGGUUGUCUUUUGGAGAAAUGAACAGUCAAGUUGUGUUUGAAAUUUGAUUUUUUUCAGGGGCAAAAGGAAGCCUCUGCAUUCUUGUCAAAUAUGUAAACAGCAUGUUUUUGCAGGUGCUAAAAAACAGAUUCUGAGUGUGUGUGUGUGUCUGUGUGUGUGUGUGUGUGUGUGUAUGUUGGCGUGUGUGUAUAUGUGUGUGUAUCCUGCAGUACUCUGUACUCCUGCAGUGGCCAAAAAGACUUUUAAGAAUGUGGAUUUUUGGGUCAUCUUUGGCGCCCCCUAGAACUGCAGUACUCUGUACUCCUGCAGUGGCCAAAAUGACUUUUAAGAAUGUGGAUUUUUGGGUCAUCUUUGGCGCCCCCUAGAACGUAAACCGUGGGGUGCAGCGUCAUGAUUUUUACAACUUUGAAUGGGCAUGGGGUGUAGAUUGCCCUGAGCAAAUUUGGUAUCGGUGGGACGAAAGCCUUAGGAGGAGAUAGCCACAUUCCAAUGUGUGCGAAUCGGCAAAAAAUGCAAAAUAGCCCUUUAACCGUACAUUAUACAGAUAUGCGCUCUUUGACUUUUUUGUAGAUCUAAUUGAGAUACACAUGAUUGUCAAUUUUUGUGUCAAUAUGACAUAGCGUUCAGGCGUGACACUUAACAAUGUGUAUUUUCAUGUAAGGGGACAAGAAAAAAUUGACUUUUUUCUCCUACCAUGGGGGGGGCGCUCUUUUGGGGAGUAAAAAUUCCUUCACAAAUGUGUUGAUGGCUGGACAUUGCAUCAUCCUAGAAAACUUGGAGGCCAGUGAGGACAAAAAAAAAAAGUUAUAAAACAUUUAAGAAUGUGGAUUUUUGGGUUAUUUUUGGCGCCCCCUAGAACCUAAACCAGGGGGAUGCAGCAUCAUGAUUUGAAUAACUUUUAAUGGCCAUGGGGUGUAGAUUGGCCUGAGCAAAUGUGGUGCCGGUGGAACGAAAGCCUUCGGAGGAGUUAGCGAAAUUCCAAUGUGUGCGUAUCGGCAAAAAAUGCGGAAUAACCCUUUAACCGUACAUUUGACAGAUACGCGCGCAUGGACUUUUUUGUAGAUCUUAUUGAUAUACAUGUGUGUGUCACAUUUUGUGUCAAUAUGACAAAGCGUACAGGCGUGACACUCAACAAUGUGUAUUUUCACCUUAGGGGACAAGAAAAAAUGGACUUUUUUCUCCUGCCAUGGGGGGGCGCUCUUUUGGGGAUUAAAAAUUCCUUCACAAAUGUGUUGAUAGCUGGACAUUGCAUCAUCCUAGAAAACUUGGAGGCCAGUGAGGUCAAAAAUAAAAAGUUAUAAGACUUUUAAAUAUGUGGAUUUUAGGGUUAUCUUUGGCGCCCCCUAGAACCUAAACCGUGGGGUGCAGCGUCAUGAUUUGAAUAACUUUUAAUGGCCAUGGGGUGUAGAUUGGCCUGAGCAAAUGUGGUGCCGGUGGAACGAAAGCCUUCAGAGGAGUUAGCGAAAUUCCAAUGUGUGCGGAUCGGCAAAAAAUGCGGAAUAACCCUUUAACCGUACAUUUGACAGAUACGCCCGCACUGACUUUUUUGUAGAUCUUAUUGAGAUACAUGUGUGUGUCAAUUUUUGUGUCAAUAUGACAAAGCGUAAAGGCGUGACAGUCAAUAGUGUGAAUUUUCACCUUAGGGGGCGCUAUGGAGCCAUUUUGCAUUUUAUUGUUUGGGCGACUUCAGAAUAUUAAAUUUUUCACCAGGCCCGGUCAUCCUGCCAAAUUUCAUGAGUUUUCGCCAGUGGGAAGUGGGCCAUUUUCCAGUUCAAAGGGGAGGAAAAAGAAGAAAGAAAGAAACAAAGAAAAAUCCCUUGGGGAAUAAUAGGGCUCUCGCAGCUGCUUAGCAGCUACGCUCGGGCCCUAACUAGGGCCCCGUUGGGGCACUGGCGGGCCCGAGCCGUGUCGCACCCCCCCCCCCCCAACGCGCUGCCUCCCCGUCCCAUUCGCGUCCUCUGGCCAUCGCCCUCUCUGGUAACGCCCAUCACUGCAAAGACCCUUUUCCUUCAUCGGCGUUUGCUGUUCUUCCUGCCAGUGCGUGUUGCUUUCACUUAUACUUGCCACAGCCAGCCUCGUGAGUGCCUAGCCUAUUGGAUAUCACUGUCACCUACACAGGACAGUCAUACUUUGUUUUUUAAUUUCACAUUAAUUUCCUUAUUGUAUAAACGACUGGAAAAAACUUGAGCCCCUGCCCCUGUAUUAUCAUGUGCACGUCCCUGUUCUAGCUCCAAGGUGAAUCUUCACUGCUCAUGUUCUCCUCAGAAGCAGUCACCUCACUCCCCUCAGGUUACUGUACACAUGCACCAACUGCCUGCUUCAGGUUUGGAUGGAGCUUCAUGGUUGUCUUUUGGAGAAAUGAGCAGUCAAGUUGUGUUUGAAAUUUGAUUUUUUUCAGGGGCAAAAGGAAGCCUCUGCAUUCUUGUCAAAUAUGUAAAUAGCAUGUUUUUGCAGGUGCUAAAAAACAGACUCUGAGUGUGUGUGUGUGUGUGUGCGUGUGUGUGUGUGUGUGUGUGUGUGUGUGUCUGUGUGUGUGUGUGUGUGUGUGUGUAUCCUGCAGUACUCUGAGAAGAAUAAUAAGCAUAUUUCUGAGGUGAAUUUUGAAGAUUCAUCUGAGAGUUAGGUUUGAUUCGAUUCGAUUGACGCUCCCCAGCGUUCAAGUCACAUGACAUAUUUAACCGGAUGUAGCUGCAAGUCGGAGCCUCGUUAACUCUCCGUUUCAACUUAUCUCAAAAGUGAGGACCUCAACCUAUAUACCAGUUUUUAAAUUGUGUUGAUAGGCCAAAUAAAACCAGAGUUAUGAUAAAUUAUGUCCGCGAUACUUUUUUUCUGCUUAUUUUGAUCACGUUCGGCGCUCGAUCGCGCUGUAUGAGACAGGAAAACAUAGCAUGCACACAUUAGCGACAGGUCUUACAGGCGGAAAAGGCUUGCCAAAAGAAGAAAAAAAAACACACCACAACAUCUCUCCUAUUGGUGGAAAACUUCACCACAACAACCAAUCCAAAAUUAUAUGGUGACUGAUUGACAAGGGGCGGGCGCUUACGUUCUUCCUGCAACAUGAGAAGGGAGGGAGGGACUCUCAGCAGGGAUGCAGUCUGGGACACGUAGUUGCAAACCUAGCGACUUUGUUGUUAGAUUCAAUGACUUUUCAGACCCCCUAACGACUUUUUUUUAGAAAGAAAGGGACUUUUAUCGACUUCUUCUGGAGUUUAGAGACUCUGACAUGAAGCAGGCUUUCCUUACUGAGGAGUUAGCAAUGCUGCUAAGGGUGCAGAGCCACACAUGCGCUCAGAGCUCUGCAUGGGAGACUGAAGCUGACAGAGCUGCAGCAGUUAGCAGGUUUCACCCUCAGAGACCACCAGGGGUUCAUGUUGAGGCAUUUUCAGUUUUUGUUUUUUUUGCCAUAGACUGUCAGCACAAUCUGCAGUUACACUAACAAAAAUGCUGCAAAAAACAAAGAAUUAUGGAAAAAUUACACAUGGACUGACAUAGAGGAGGAUCUACACAAGUUUUUUACAUCAUGUUUUACAUCAUGCAUCAUUUACAUCAUGUUUUUUUGUAGUGGCAUAAAUAAAAAGUGACAUUUGUGAGACUAUACAGUGUUUUGUAAAUAAUUUUACAAAGAACGCCUGGGCCAUUGCCUGCAUUUUGAUGUAAAUAGAGGUAAAUUACUAUGUUCUUUGUUAAAAAUUUGCAUAUGUUUUGAAGUUUACAAUUUUUAUUUGAAGUUAAAUUUUUAAAAACAGUUCAUCACACAUAUUUGUGGUUUAAUUUCACAUUAAUUUCCAUAUUGUAUAAAUGACUGGAAAAAACUUGAGCCCCUGCCCCUGUAUAAUCAUGUGCACGUCCCUGUUCUAGCUCCAAGGUGAAUCUUCACUGCUCAUGUUCUCCUCAGAAAUAGUCACCUCACUCCCCUCAGGUUACUGUACACAUGCACCAACUAUCUGCUUCAGGUUUGGAUGGAGCUUCAUGGUUGUCUUUUGGAGAAAUCAACAGUCAAGUUGUGUUUGAAAUCUGAUUUUUUUCAGGGGCAAAAGGAAGCCUCUGCAUUCUUGUCAAAUAUGUAAACAGCAUGUUUUUGCAGGUGCUAAAAAACAGACUCUGAGUGUGUGUGUGUGUGUGUGUGUGUGUGUAUGUGUGUGUAUCCUGCAGUACUCUGUACUCCUGCAGUGGCCAAAAAGACUUUUAAGAAUGUGGAUUUUUGGGUCAUCUUUGGCGCCCCCUAGAAAUGCAGUACUCUGUACUCCUGCAGUGGCCAAAAUGACUUUUAAGAAUGUGGAUUUUUGGGUCAUCUUUGGCGCCCCCUAGAACGUAAACCGUGGGGUGCAGCGUCAUGAUUUUUACAACUUUGAAUGGCCAUGGGGUGUAGAUUGCCCUGAGCAAAUUUGGUAUCGGUGGGACGAAAGCCUUAGGAGGAGAUAGCCACAUUCCAAUGUGUGCGAAUCGGCAAAAAAUGCGAAAUAGCCCUUUAACCGUACAUUAUACAGAUACGCGCUUUUUGACUUUUUCGUAGAUCUAAUUGAGAUACACAUGAUUGUCAAUUUUUGUGUCAAUAUGACAAAGCGUUCAGGCGUGACACUCAACAAUGUGUAUUUUCAUGUAAGGGGACAAGAAAAAAUUGACUUUUUUCUCCUGCCAUGGGGGGGCGCUCUUUUGGGGAGUAAAAAUUCCUUCACAAAUGUGUUGAUGGCUGGACAUUGCAUCAUCCGAGAAAACUUGGAGGGCAGUGAGGACAAAAAUAACUAGGGCCCCGUUGGGGCACUGUCGGGCCCGAGCCGCGUCGCGCCGCCCCCAGCGCGACCGCCUCCCCGUCCCAUUCGUGCCCUCUGGCCAUCGCCCUCUCUGGUGACGCCCAUCACUGCAAAGACCCUUUUCCUUCAUCGGUGUUUGCUGUUCUUCCUGCCAUUGUGUGUUGCUUUCACUUACACUUGCCACAGCCAGCCUCGUGAGUGCCUGGCCUGGUUUGACCUUUGCUCACCAUGAUUGUGUGACCUUGGUAUCAGCUACUUGGGAAGUUCAACCGUUGUGGCAAAGCUUUGUUUGCGUGCUGUGCUCAACCACCUAUUUUCUAUGGAUGUGUAAGUAAACCACUUUCUUUCUUACACAAUGACACACUCAUACUUAUCACUCACUGCUACUGAUGUGCUCUGUUAGUAUGCAUGCAGGAAACCUGAUGAAUGAAGAAAUGCCCAGACUAGCCAACAUCUCAAUAAAUUAUGAGGUAUGACAUCACUUGAAUGGUUUCCUUGGACUAUGCUUCCAUUAUUCUAAUUCUGUAAUAAAAAGAAAUUUUGUCCAAAAGGACUGUUGUUGUUUUUUCUUCUAAUAAUUAACAUAUUUAACAUAAUUAACAUUCAAUAUGCGCUCAUUACACACGUGCACACUCUUUGAUGAUCUGAGAAGCAGAGCUUAAAGGACAGUAGGAGUAGCUGAACAAAGUGUAUUUGUAGGAAAGCCGUAAGAGCUAUUGAAACGCCGUUUUCGCGGGUUGAAAGGUUAGGGUGUCCACCAAAGGUCAGAGGUCAAAUAACAUUUGUAUCUCAAACUGUGACGUCAAAGUCAAGGUCCAAAGAUGGUGUGCGCACCUGUCUUUGGUCAUUUCCCAUUAUAAUGAAUGGGAGGCACAGUUUCUACCAAAACGCUCGCUGCAGACAAACUACAUGUCCUAUUUGAAAAAACUCUGGACCAUGAGUGAGGGCACAAACACAGCUAGGACAUAUCCAAAUGGCAAGUUGCUCCUCCUUUUGGUUUUAGCGGGAGAGCAAUGCGUUUGAGCCAUUAAGCGAUGGGCUGGAAAAACUUGACUUUUUCUCCUGCCAUGGGGGGGGGGGGGCGCUCUUUUGGGGAGAAAAAUUCCUUCACAGAUGUGUUGAUGGCUGCACAUUGCAUCAUCCUAGAAAACUUGGAGGCCAGUGAGGACAAAAAUAAAAAGUUAUAAGACUUUUAAAAAUGUGGAUAUUUGGGUCAUCUUUGGCGCCCCCUAGAACCUAAACCGUGGGGUGCAGCGUCAUGAUUUGUACAACUUUGAAUGGCCAUGGGGUGUAGAUUGGCCUGAGCAAAUUUGGUGUCAGUAGAACGAAAGCCUUAGGAGGAGUUAGCCACAUUCUAAUGUGUGCGAAUCGGCAAAAAAUGCAAGAUAGCCCUUUAACCGUACAUUUUACAGAUAUGUGCCCAUUGACUUUUUCGUAGAUCUUAUUGAGAUACACGUGUGUGUCAAAUUUUGUGUCAAUAUGACAAAGCGUAUAGGCGUGACACUGAACAAUGUGUAUUUUCACCUUAGGGGACAAGAAAAAAUGGCCUUUUUUGUCCUGCCAUGGGGGGGGGGCGCUGUUUUGGGGAGUAAAAAUUCCUUCACAAAUGUGUUGAUGGCUGGACAUUGCAUCAUCCUAGAAAACUUGGAGGCCAAUGAGGACAAAAAUAAAAAGUUAUAAGAUUUUUAAGAAUGUGGAUUUGUGGGUUAUCUUUGGCGCCCCCUAGAACGUAAACCGUGGGGUGCAGCGUCAUGAUUUGUACAACUUUUAAUGGCCAUGGGGUGUAGAUUGGCCUGAGCAAAUGUGGUGCCGGUGGAACGAAUGCCUUCGGAGGAGUUAGCGAAAUUCCAAUGUGUGCAGAUCUGCAAAAAAUGCGAAAUAACCCUCUAACCGUACAUUUCACAGAUGCGCCCGCACUGACUUUUUCGUAGAUCUUAUUGAGAUACACAUGUGUGUCAAAUUUUGUGUCAUUUUGACAAAGCGUACAGGCGUCAGGUGAGUUUUCACCAUAGGGGGCGCUAUGGAGCCAUUUUUCAUUUUUUUGUUUGGGCGACUUCAGAAUAUCGAAUUUUUCACCAGGCCCGGUCGUCCUGCCAAAUUUCCUGAGUUUUCGCCAGUGGGAAGUGGGCCAUUUUCCAGUUUAAAGCGGAGGAAAAAUAACUAGGACCCCGUUGGGGCACUGGCGGGCCCGAGCCGUGUCGCGUCCCCCCCCCCCCCCCCCCAACGUGCUGCCUCCCCGUCCCAUUUGUGUCCUCUGGCCAUCGCCCUCUCUGGUAACGCCCAUCACUGCAAAGACCCUUUUCCUUCAUCUGCGUUUGCUGUUCUUCCUGCCAGUGCGUGUUGCUUUCACUUACACUUGCCACAGCCAGCCUCGUGAGUGCCUAGCCUAUUGGAUAUCACUGUCACCUACACAGGACAGUCAUUACCUUUCUAUUAAUACUUUGUGUUUUAAUUUCACAUUAAUUUCCAUAUUGUAUAAACGACUGGAAAAAACUUGAGCCCCUGCCCCUGUAUAAUCAUGUGCAUGUCUCUGUUCUAGCUCCAAGGUGAAUCUUCACUGCUCAUGUUCUCCUCAGAAGCACUCACCUCACUCCCCUCAGGUUACUGUACACAUGCACCGACUGCCUGCUUCAGGUUUGGAUGGAGCUUCAUGGUUGUCUUUUGGAGAAAUGACCAGUCAAGUUGUGUUUGAAAUUUGAUUUUUUUCAGGGGCAAAAGGAGCCUCUGCAUUCUUGUCAAAUAUGUAAAUAGCAUGUUUUUGCAGGUGCUAAAAACCAGACUCUGAGUGUGUGUGUGUGUGUGUGUGUGUGUGUGUGUGUGUGUGUGUGUGUGUGUGUGUGUGUGUGCGUGUGUGUGUGUCUGUGUGUGCGUUCAAGUCACAUGACAUAUUUAACCGGAUGUAGCUGCAAGACGGAGCCUCGUUGACUCUCCGUUUCAACUUAUCUCAAAAGUGAGGACCUCAACCUAUAUACCAGUUUUUAAAUUGUGUUGAUAGGCCAAAUAAAACCAGAGUUAUGAUAAAUUAUGUCCGCGAUACUUUUUUUCUGCUUAUUUUGAUCACGUUCGGCGCUCGAUCGCGCUGUAUGAGACAGGAAAACAUAGCAUGCAGACAUUAGCGACAGCUCUUACAGGCGGAAAAGGCUUGCCAAAAGAAAAAAAAAACACACCACAACAUCUCUCCUAUUGGUGGAAAACUUCACCACAACAACCAAUCCAAAAUUAUAUGGUGACUGAUUGACAAGGGGGGCGCUUACGUUCUUCCUGCAACAUGAGAAGGGAGGGAGGGACUCUCAGCAGGGAUGCAGUCUGGGACACGUAGUUGCAAACCUAGCGACUUUGUUGUUAGAUUCAAUGACUUUUCAGACCCCCUAACGACUUUUUUUUAGAAAGAAAGGGACUUUUAUCGACUUCUUCUGGAGUUUAGAGACUCUGACAUGAAGCAGGCUUUCCUUACUGAGGAGUUAGCAACGCUGCUAAGGGUGCAGAGCCACACAUGCGCUCAGAGCUCUGCAUGGGAGACUGAAGCUGACAGAGCUGCAGCAGUUAGCAGGUUUCACCCUCAGAGACCACCAGGGGUUCAUGUUGAGGCAUUUUAAUUUUUUUUUUUUUUUUGUGCCAUAGACACUGUCAGCACAAUCUGCAGUUACACUAACAAAAAUGCUGCAAAAAACAAAGAAUUAUGGAAAAAUUACACAUGGACUGACAUAGAGGAGGAUCUACACAAGUUUUUUACAUCAUGUUUUACAUCAUGCAUCAUUUACAUCAUGUUUUUUUGUAGUGGCAUAAAUAAAAAGUGACAUUUGUGAGACUAUACAGUGUUUUGUAAAUAAUUUUACAAAGAACGCCUGGGCCAUUGCCUGCAUUUUGAUGUAAAUAGAGGUAAAUCACUAUGUUCUUUGUUAAAAAUUUGCAUAUGUUUUGAAGUUUACAAUUUUUAUUUGAAGUUUAAGUUUUAAAAACAGUUCAUCACACAUAUUUGUGGUUUUCACAGUAAAAAUGUUACUUUUUUCCACUCGGAUUUUAUGUUUUGUGUGUGAAUUUGGGUCCAUUGUGUAAAUUCAGUAUGUCAACAUGAUAAAAUAACUGUAAAUUCGCACAGGUGAGGUUGUGCUGAAAAAAAUGAUACCAGGCAAGGCACGUGAUUGUCAAAUUUUGUGUCAAUAUGACAAAGCGUAUAGGCGUGAAUCUCAACAAUAUGUAUUUUCACCUUAGAGGACAAGAAAAAAUGGACUUUUUUCUCCUGCCAUGGGGGGGCGCUCUUUUGGGGAGUAAAAAUUCCUUCACAAAUGUGUUGAUGGCUGGACAUUGCAUCAUCCUAGAAAACUUGGAGGCCAGUGAGGACAAAAAUAAAAAGUUAUAAGACUUUUAAAUAUGUGGAUUUUAGGGUUAUCUUUGGCGCCCCCUAGAACCUAAACCGUGGGGUGCAGCGUCAUGAUUUUGAUAACUUUUAAUGGCCAUGGGGUGUAGAUUGGCCUGAGCAAAUGUGGUGCCGGUGGAACGAAAGCCUUAGGAGGAGUUAGCGAAAUUCCAAUGUGUGCGGAUCGGCAAAAAAUGCGGAAUAACCCUUUAACCGUACAUUUGACAGAUACGCGCGCAUUGACUUUUUCGUAGAUCUUAUUGAGUUACAUGUGUGUGUCAAUUUUUGUGUCAUUUUGACAAAGCGUAUAGGCGUGACACUCAACAAUGUGUAUUUUCACCUUAGGGGACAAGAAAAAAUGGACUUUUUUCUCCUGCCAUGGGGGGGCGCUCUUUUGGGGAGUAGAAAUUCCUUCACAAAUGUGUUGAUGGCUGGACAUUGCAUCAUCCUAGAAAACUUGGAGGCCAGUGAGGACAAAAAUAAAAAGUUAUAAGACUUUUAAAUAUGUGGAUUUUAGUGUUAUCUUUGGCGCCCCCUAGAACCUAAACCUUGGGGUGCAGCGUCAUGAUUUUGAUAACUUUUAAUGGCCACGGGGUGUAGAUUGGCCUGAGCAAAUGUGGUGCCGGUGGAACGAAAGCCUUCGGAGGAGUUAGCGAAAUUCCAAUGUGUGCGGAUCGGCAAAAAAUGCGAAAUAACCCUUUAACCGUAAUUUUGACAGAUACGGCCGCACUGACUUUUUUGUAGAUCUUAUUGAGAUACAUAUGUGUGUCAAUUUUUGUGUCAAUAUGACAAAGCGUACAGGCGUGACAGUCAAUAGUGUGAAUUUUCACCUUAGGGGGCGCUAUGGAGCCAUUUUGCAUUUUAUUGUUUGGGCGACUUCAGAAUAUCAAAUUUUUCACCAGGCCCGGUCGUCCUGCCAAAUUUCAUGAGUUUUCGCCAGUGGGAAGUGGGCCAUUUUCCAGUUCAAAGGGGAGGAAAAAGAAAAAAAUAUGUGGAUUUUAGGGUUAUCUUUGGCGCCCCCUAGAACCUAAACCGUGGGGUGCAGCGUCAUGAUUUUGAUAACUUUUAAUGGCCAUGGGGUGUAGAUUGGCCUGAGCAAAUGUGGUGCCGGUGGAACGAAAGCCUUAGGAGGAGUUAGCGAAAUUCCAAUGUGUGCGGAUCGGCAAAAAAUGCGGAAUAACCCUUUAACCGUACAUUUGACAGAUACGCGCGCAUUGACUUUUUCGUAGAUCUUAUUGAGUUACAUGUGUGUGUCAAUUUUUGUGUCAUUUUGACAAAGCGUAUAGGCGUGACACUCAACAAUGUGUAUUUUCACCUUAGGGGACAAGAAAAAAUGGACUUUUUUCUCCUGCCAUGGGGGGGCGCUCUUUUGGGGAGUAGAAAUUCCUUCACAAAUGUGUUGAUGGCUGGACAUUGCAUCAUCCUAGAAAACUUGGAGGCCAGUGAGGACAAAAAUAAAAAGUUAUAAGACUUUUAAAUAUGUGGAUUUUAGUGUUAUCUUUGGCGCCCCCUAGAACCUAAACCUUGGGGUGCAGCGUCAUGAUUUUGAUAACUUUUAAUGGCCACGGGGUGUAGAUUGGCCUGAGCAAAUGUGGUGCCGGUGGAACGAAAGCCUUCGGAGGAGUUAGCGAAAUUCCAAUGUGUGCGGAUCGGCAAAAAAUGCGAAAUAACCCUUUAACCGUAAUUUUGACAGAUACGGCCGCACUGACUUUUUUGUAGAUCUUAUUGAGAUACAUAGGUGUGUCAAUUUUUGUGUCAAUAUGACAAAGCGUACAGGCGUGACAGUCAAUAGUGUGAAUUUUCACCUUAGGGGGCGCUAUGGAGCCAUUUUGCAUUUUAUUGUUUGGGCGACUUCAGAAUAUCAAAUUUUUCACCAGGCCCGGUCGUCCUGCCAAAUUUCAUGAGUUUUCGCCAGUGGGAAGUGGGCCAUUUUCCAGUUCAAAGGGGAGGAAAAAGAAAAAAGAAAGAAAGAAACAAAGAAAAACCACUUGGGGAAUAAUAGGGCCUACGCCCGGCUGCUCUGCAGCUGGCUCGGGCCCUAACGAAAGAAGAAUCCAUCAGGAACAAGAGGGCUCUCGCAGCUGCUUAGCAGCUACGCUCGGGCCCUAACAAACUAGGGCCCCGUUGGGGCACUGGCGGGCAUGAGCCGCGUUGCGCCGCCCCCAGUGCGACCGCCUCCCCCUCCCGAUCGCGUCACACUCAAGGUCCAAAGAUGGUGUGCGCACUUGUCUGUGGUCAUUUCCCAUUAUAAUGAAUGGGAGGCGCAGUUUCUACCAAAACACUCGCUGCAGACAAACUACAUGUCCUAUUUGAAAAAAGUCUGGACCAUGAGUGAGGGCACAAACACAGCUAGGAUAUAUCCAAACGGCAAGUUGCUCCUCGUUACGGUGUUGCCGGGAGAGCGAUGCGAUUGAGCCAUUGAGUGAUGGGCAGGAAAAACUUGACUGUUUCUCCUGCCAUGGGGGAUGGGGGAUGGGGGGGGGGGGGGGGGGGGGGGGGAUGUGGAUUCUUUUAAGAAUGUGGAUAUUUGGGUCCUCUUUGGCGCCCCCUAGAACGUAAACCGUGGGGUGAAGCGUCAUGAUUUUUAAAACUUUGAAUGGCCAUGGGGUGUAGAUUGGCCUGAGCAAAUUUGGUGUCAGUGGGACGAAAGCCUUAGGAGGUGUUAGCCACAUUCCAAUGUGUGCUAAUCGGCAAAAAAUGCAAAAUAGCCCUUUAACCGUACAUUUUACAGAUACGCGCGCAUUGACUUUUUCGUAGAUCUUAUUGAGAUACAUGUGUGUGUCAAAUUUUGUGUCAAUAUGACAAAGCAUACAGGUAUGACAGUCAACAAUGUGUAUUUUCACCUUAUGGGACAAGAAAAAAUGGACUUUUUUCUCCUGCCAUGGGGGGGCGCUCUUUUGGGGAGUAAAAAUUCCUUCACAAAUGUGUUGAUGGCUGGACAUUGCAUCAUCCUAGAAAACUUGGAGGCCAGAGAGGACAAAAAUAAAAAGUUAUAAGACUUUUAAAUAUGUGGAUUUUAGGGUUAUCUUUGGCGCCCCCUAGAACCUAAACCGUGGGGUGCAGCGUCAUGAUUUGAAUAACUUUUAAUGGCCAUGGGGUGUAGAUUGGCCUGAGCAAAUGUGGUGCCGGUGGAACGAAAGCCUUCGGAGGAGUUAGCGAAAUUCCAAUGUGUGCGGAUCGCCAAAAAAUGCGCAAUAACCCUUUAACCGUACAUUUGACAGAUACGCCAGCACUGACUUUUUUGUAGAUCUUAUUGAGAUACAUGUGUGUGUCAAUUUUUGUGUAAUUUUGACAAAGCGUACAGGCGUGACAGUCAAUAGUGUGAAUUUUCACCUUAUGGGACAAGAAAAAAUGGACUUUUUUCUCCUGCCAUGGGGGGCGCUCUUUUGGGGAGUAAAAAUUCCUUCACAAAUGUGUUGAUGGCUGGACAUUGCAUCAUCCUAGAGAACUUGGAGGCCAGUGAGGGCAAAAAUAAAAAGUUAUAAGACUUUGAAAUAUGUGGAUUUUAGGGUUAUCUUUGGCGCCCCCUAGAACCUAAACCGUGGGGUGCAGUGUCAUGAUUUGAAUAACUUUUAAUGGCCAUGGGGUGUAGAUUGGCCUGAGCAAAUGUGGUGCCGGUGGAACGAAAGCCUUCGGAGGAGUUAGCGAAAUUCCAAUGUGUGCGGAUCGGCAAAAAAUGCGAAAUAACCCUUUAACCGUACAUUUGACAGAUACGCCCGCACUGACUUUUUUGUAGAUCUUAUUGAGAUACAUGUGUGUGUCAAUUUUUGUGUCAUUUUGACAAAGCGUACCGGCGUGACAGUGAAUAGUGUGAAUUUUCACCUUAGGGGGCGCUAUGGAGCCAUUUUGCAUUUUCUUGUUUGGGCGACUUCGGAAUAUCAAAUUUUUCACCAGGCCCGGUCGUCCUGCCAAAUUUCAUGAGUUUUCGCCAGUGGGAAGUGGGCCAUUUUCCAGUUCAAAGGGGAGGAAAAAUAAUAAUAAUACUAGGGCCCCGUUGGGGCACUGGCGGGCCCGAGCUGUGUCACGCCGCCCCCAACACGACCGCCUCUCCCUCCCGAUCGCGUCACACUCAAGGUUCAACGAUUGUGUGCGCACUUGUCUGUGGUCAUUUACCAUUAUAAUGAAUGGGAGGCGCAGUUUCUACCAAAACGCUUGCUGCAGACAAACUACAUGUCCUAUUUGAAAAAAGUCUGGACCAUGAGUGAGGGCACAAACACAGCUAGGAUAUAUCCAAAUGGCAAGUUCCUCCUCCUUUCGUUUUUUUCCGAGAGAGCGAUGUGUUUGAGCCAUUGAGCGAUGGGCAGGAAAAACUUGACUUUUUCUCCUGCCAUGGGGGGGCACUCUUUUAGGGAGAAAAAUUCCUUCACAAAUGUGUUGAUGGCUAGACAUUGCAUCAUCCUAGAAAACUUUGAAGCCAGUGAGGACAAAAAUGAAAAGUUAUAAGACUUUUAAGAAUGUGGAUUUUUGGGUUAUCUUUGGCGACCCCUAGAACGUAAACCGUGGGGUGCAGCAUCAUGAUUUGUACAACUUUUAAUGGCCAUGGGGUGUAGAUUGGCCUGAGCAAAUUUGGUGCCGGUGGAACGAAAGCUUUAGGAGGAGUUAGCCACAUUCCAAUGUGUGCGAAUCAACCAAAAAUGCGAAAUAGCCCUUUAACCGUACAUUUUGCAGACACGUGCGCGUUGACUUUUUCGUAGAUCUUAUUGAGAUACACGUGAUUAUCAAAUUUUGUUUCAAUAUGACAAAGCGUACAGGCGUGACACUCAACAAUGUGUAUUUUCACCUUAUAGGACAAGAAAAAAUGGACUUUUUUCUCCUGCCAUGGGGGGGCGCUCUUUUGGGGAGUAAAAAUUCCUUCACAAAUGUGUUGAUGGCUGGACAUUGCAUCAUCCUAGAAAACUUGGAGGCCAGUGAUGACAGAAAUAAAAAGUUAUAAGACUUGUAAGAAUGUGGAUUUUUGGGUUAUCUUUGGCGCCCCGUACAACGUAAACCGUGGGGUGCAGCGUCAUGAUUUGUACAACUUUGAAUGGCCAUGGGGGUUAGAUUGGCCUGAGCAAAUUUGGUGCCGGUGGAACGAAAGCCUUCGGAGGAGUUAGCGAAAUUCCAAUGUGUGCGGAUCGGCAAAAAAUGCGAAAUAGCCCUUUAAACGUACAUUUGACAGAUACGCCCGCACUGACUUUUUUGUAGAUCUUAUUGAGAUACACGUGUGUGUCAAAUUUUGUGUCAUUUUGACAAAGCGUACAGGCGUGACACUCAAUCAUGUGAAUUUUUCACCUUAGGGGGCGCUAUGGAGCCAUUUUGCAUUUGAUUGUUUGGGUGACUUCAGAAUAUCGAAUUUUUCACCAGGCCCGGUCGUCCUGCCGAAUUUCAUGAGUUUUCACCAGUGGGAAGUGGGCCAUUUUCCAGUUCAAAGGGGCAGAAAAAUAAUAAGAAGAAGAAGAAGAAAGAAGAAUCCAUCAGGAAUAAUAGGGCUCUCGCAGCUGCUUAGCAGCUACGCUCGGGCCCUAAAAAGUUAUAAGACUUUUAAAUAUUUGGAUUUUAGGGUUAUCUUUGGCGCCCCCUAGAACCUAAACCGUGGGGUGCAGCGUCAUGAUUUUUACAACUUUUAAUGGCCAUGGGGUGUAGAUUGGCCUGAGCAAAUUUGGUGCCGGUGGAACGAAAGCCUUCGGAGGAGUUAGCGAAAUUCCAAUGUGUGCGGAUCGGCAAAAAAUGCGAAAUAAACCUUUAACCGUACAUUAUACAGAUACGCGCUCUUUGACUUUUUCGUAGAUCUUAUUGAGAUACACGUGUGUGUCAAUUUUUGUGUCAAUAUGACAAAGCGUUUAGGCGUGACACUCAACAAUGUGUAUUUUCAUGUUAGGGGACAAGAAAAACUUGACUUUUUUCUCCUGCCAUGGGGGGGCGCUCUUUUGGGGAGUAAAAAUUCCUUCACACAUGUGUUGAUGGCUGGACAUAGCAUCAUCCUAGAAAACUUGGAGGCCAGUGAGGACAAAAAUAAAAAGUUAUAAGACUUUUAAGAAUGUGGAUUUUUGGGUUAUCUUUGGCGCCCCCUAGAACAUAAACCGUGGGGUGCAGCGUCAUGAUUUGUACAACUUUUAAUGGCCAUGGGGUGUAGAUUGGCCUGAGCAAAUUUGGUGCCGGUGGAACGAAAGCCUUCGGAGGAGUUAGCGAAAUUCCAAUGUGUGCGGAUCGGCAAAAAAUGCGAAAUAGCCCUUUAACCGUACAUUUGACAGAUACGCCCGCACUGACUUUUUUGUAGAUCUUAUUGAGAUACACAUGUGUGUCAAAUUUUGUGUCAUUUUGACAAAGCGUACAGGCGUCAGGUGAGUUUUCACCAUAGGGGGCGCUAUGGAGCCAUUUUUCAUUUUUUUGUUUGGGCGACUUCAGAAUAUCAAAUUUUUCACCAGGCCCGGUCGUCCUGCCAAAUAUCCUGAGUUUUCGCCAGUGGGAAGUGGGCCAUUUUCCAGUUUAAAGCGGAGGAAAAAUAACGAAAGAAGAAUCCAUCAGGAACAAGAGGGCUCUCGCAGCUGCUUAGCAGCUACGCUCGGGCCCUAAAAAGAAACAAAGAAAAACCACUUGGGGAAUAAUAGGGCUCUCGCAGCUGCUUAGCAGCUACGCUCGGGCCCUAACUAGGACCCCGUGGGGGCACGGGCGGGCCCGAGCCGUGUCGCCCCCCCCCCCCCCCCCCAACGUGCUUCCUUCCCGUCCCAUUUGUGUCCUCUGGCCAUUGCCCUCUCUGGUAACGCCCAUCACUGCAAAGACCCUUUUCCUUCAUCGGCGUUUGCUGUUCUUCCUGCCAGUGCGUGUUGCUUUCACUUACACUUGCCACAGCCAGCCUCGUGAGUGCCUAGCCUAUUGGAUAUCACUGUCACCUACACAGGACAGUCAUUACCUUUCUAUUAAUACUUUGUGUUUUAAUUUCACAUUAAUUUCCAUAUUGUAUAAACGACUGGAAAAAACUUGAGCCCCUGCCCCUGUAUAAUCAUGUGCAUGUCUCUGUUCUAGCUCCAAGGUGAAUCUUCACUGCUCAUGUUCUCCUCAGAAGCACUCACCUCACUCCCCUCAGGUUACUGUACACAUGCACCAACUGCCUGCUUCAGGUUUGGAUGGAGCUUCAUGGUUGUCUUUUGGAGAAAUGACCAGUCAAGUUGUGUUUGAAAUUUGAUUUUUUUCAGGGGCAAAAGGAGCCUCUGCAUUCUUGUCAAAUAUGUAAAUAGCAUGUUUUUGCAGGUGCUAAAAACCAGAAUCUGAGUGUGUGUGUGUGUGUGUGUGCGUGUGUGUGUGUCUGUGUGUGCGUUCAAGUCACAUGACAUAUUUAACCGGAUGUAGCUGCAAGACGGAGCCUCGUUGACUCUCCGUUUCAACUUAUCUCAAAAGUGAGGACCUCAACCUAUAUACCAGUUUUUAAAUUGUGAUGAUAGGCCAAAUAAAACCAGAGUUAUGAUAAAUUAUGUCCGCGAUACUUUUUUUCUGCUUAUUUUGAUCACGUUCGGCGCUCGAUCGCGCUGUAUGAGACAGGAAAACAUAGCAUGCAGACAUUAGCGACAGGUCUUACAGGCGGAAAAGGCUUGCCAAAAGAAAAAAAAAACACACCACAACAUCUCUCCUAUUGGUGGAAAACUUCACCACAACAACCAAUCCAAAAUUAUAUGGUGACUGAUUGACAAGGGGCGGGCGCUUACGUUCUUCCUGCAACAUGAGAAGGGAGGGAGGGACUCUCAGCAGGGAUGCAGUCUGGGACACGUAGUUGCAAACCUAGCGACUUUGUUGUUAGAUUCAAUGACUUUUCAGACCCCCUAACGACUUUUUUUUAGAAAGAAAGGGACUUUUAUCGACUUCUUCUGGAGUUUAGAGACUCUGACAUGAAGCAGGCUUUCCUUACUGAGGAGUUAGCAACGCUGCUAAGGGUGCAGAGCCACACAUGCGCUCAGAGCUCUGCAUGGGAGACUGAAGCUGACAGAGCUGCAGCAGUUAGCAGGUUUCACCCUCAGAGACCACCAGGGGUUCAUGUUGAGGCAUUUUAAUUUUUUUUUUUUUUUUGUGCCAUAGACACUGUCAGCACAAUCUGCAGUUACACUAACAAAAAUGCUGCAAAAAACAAAGAAUUAUGGAAAAAUUACACAUGGACUGACAUAGAGGAGGAUCUACACAAGUUUUUUACAUCAUGUUUUACAUCAUGCAUCAUUUACAUCAUGUUUUUUUGUAGUGGCAUAAAUAAAAAGUGACAUUUGUGAGACUAUACAGUGUUUUGUAAAUAAUUUUACAAAGAACGCCUGGGCCAUUGCCUGCAUUUUGAUGUAAAUAGAGGUAAAUCACUAUGUUCUUUGUUAAAAAUUUGCAUAUGUUUUGAAGUUUACAAUUUUUAUUUGAAGUUUAAGUUUUAAAAACAGUUCAUCACACAUAUUUGUGGUUUUCACAGUAAAAAUGUUACUUUUUUCCACUCGGAUUUUAUGUUUUGUGUGUGAAUUUGGGUCCAUUGUGUAAAUUCAGUAUGUCAACAUGAUAAAAUAACUGUAAAUUCGCACAGGUGAGGUUGUGCUGAAAAAAAUGAUACCAGGCAAGGCACGUGAUUGUCAAAUUUUGUGUCAAUAUGACAAAGCGUAUAGGCGUGAAUCUCAACAAUAUGUAUUUUCACCUUAGGGGACAAGAAAAAAUGGACUUUUUUCUCCUGCCAUGGGGGGGCGCUCUUUUGGGGAGUAAAAAUUCCUUCACAAAUGUGUUGAUGGCUGGACAUUGCAUCAUCCUAGAAAACUUGGAGGCCAGUGAGGACAAAAAUAAAAAGUUAUUAGACUUUUAAAUAUGUGGAUUUUAGGGUUAUCUUUGGCGCCCCCUAGAACCUAAACCGUAGGGUGCAGCGUCAUGAUUUGAAUAAUUUUUAAUGGCCAUGGGGUGUAGAUUGGCCUGAGCAAAUGUGGUGCCGGUGGAACGAAAGCCUUAGGAGGAGUUAGCCACAUUCCAAUGUGUGCGGAUCGGCAAAAAAUGCGGAAUAACCCUUUAACCGUACAUUUGACAGAUACGCGCGCAUUGACUUUUUCGUAGAUCUUAUUGAGUUACAUGUGUGUGUCAAUUUUUAUGUCAUUUUGACAAAGCGUAUAGGCGUGACACUCAACAAUGUGUAUUUUCACCUUAGGGGACAAGAAAAAAUUGACUUUUUUCUCCUGCCAUGGGGGGGCGCUCUUUUGGGGAGUAAAAAUUCCUUCACAAAUGUGUUGAUGGCUGGACAUUGCAUCAUCCUAGAAAACUUGGAGGCCAGUGAGGACAAAAAUAAAAAGUUAUAAGACUUUUAAAUAUGUGGAUUUUAGUGUUAUCUUUGGCGCCCCCUAGAACCUAAACCUUGGGGUGCAGCAUCAUGAUUUUGAUAACUUUUAAUGGCCACGGGGUGUAGAUUGGCCUGAGCAAAUGUGGUGCCGGUGGAACGAAAGCCUUCGGAGGAGUUAGCGAAAUUCCAAUGUGUGCGGAUCGGCAAAAAAUGCGAAAUAACCCUUUAACCGUAAUUUUGACAGAUACGGCCGCACUGACUUUUUUGUAGAUCUUAUUGAGAUACAUAUGUGUGUCAAUUUUUGUGUCAAUAUGACAAAGCGUACAGGCGUGACAGUCAAUAGUGUGAAUUUCCACCUUAGGGGGCGCUAUGGAGCCAUUUUGCAUUUUAUUGUUUGGGCGACUUCAGAAUAUCGAAUUUUUCACCAGGCCCGGUCGUCCUGCCAAAUUUCAUGAGUUUUCGCCAGUGGGAAGUGGGCCAUUUUCCAGUUCAAAGGGGAGGAAAAAGAAGAAAGAAAGAAAGAAAGAAACAAAGAAAAACCACUUGGGGAAUAAUAGGGCUCUCGCAGCUGCUUAGCAGCUACGCUCGGGCCCUAAAGAAAGAAAGAAAGAAACAAAGAAAAACCACUUGGGGAAUAAUAGGGCCUACGCCCGGCUGCUCUGCAGCUGGCUCGGGCCCUAACUAGGACCCCGUUGGGGCACUGGCGGGCCCGAGCUGUGUCGCGUCCCCCCCCAACGCGCUGCCUCCCCGUCCCAUUUGUGUCCUCUGGCCAUCGCCCUCUCUGGUAACGCCCAUCACUGCAAAGACCCUUUUCCUUCAUCGGCGUUUGCUGUUCUUCCUGCCAGUGCGUGUUGCUUUCACUUACACUUGCCACAGCCAGCCUCGUGAGUGCCUAGCCUAUUCGAUAUCACUGUCACCUACACAGGACAGUCAUUACCUUUCUAUUAAUACUUUGUUUUUUAAUUUCACAUUAAUUUCCAUAUUGUAUAAACGACUGGAAAAAACUUGAGCCCCUGCCCCUGUAUAAUCAUGUGCAGGUCUCUGUUCUAGCUCCAAGGUGAAUCUUCACUGCUCAUGUUCUCCUCAGAAGCACUCACCUCACUCCCCUCAGGUUACUGUACACAUGCACCAACUGCCUGCUUCAGGUUUGGAUGGAGCUUCAUGGUUGUCUUUUGGAGAAAUGACCAGUCAAGUUGUGUUUGAAAUUUGAUUUUUUUCAGGGGCAAAAGGAGCCUCUGCAUUCUUGUCAAAUAUGUAAAUAGCAUGUUUUUGCAGGUGCUAAAAACCAGACUCUGAGUGUGUGUGUGUGCGUGUGUGUGUGUGUCUGUGUGUGUGUGUGUGUGUGUGUGUGUGUGUGUGUGUGUGUGCGUUCAAGUCACAUGACAUAUUUAACCGGAUGUAGCUGCAAGACGGAGCCUCGUUGACUCUCCGUUUCAACUUAUCUCAAAAGUGAGGACCUCAACCUAUAUACCAGUUUUUAAAUUGUGUUGAUAGGCCAAAUAAAACCAGAGUUAUGAUAAAUUAUGUCCGCGAUACUUUUUUUCUGCUUAUUUUGAUCACGUUCGGCGCUCGAUCGCGCUGUAUGAGACAGGAAAACAUAGCAUGCAGACAUUAGCGACAGGUCUUACAGGCGGAAAAGGCUUGCCAAAAGAAAAAAAAAACACACCACAACAUCUCUCCUAUUGGUGGAAAACUUCACCACAACAACCAAUCCAAAAUUAUAUGGUGACUGAUUGACAAGGGGCGGGCGCUUACGUUCUUCCUGCAAUAUGAGAAGGGAGGGAGGGACUCUCAGCAGGGAUGCAGUCUGGGACACGUAGUUGCAAACCUAGCGACUUUGUUGUUAGAUUCAAUGACUUUUCAGACCCCCUAACGACUUUUUUUAGAAAGAAAGUGACUUUUAUCGACUUCUUCUGGAGUUUAGAGACUCUGACAUGAAGCAGGCUUUCCUUACUGAGGAGUUAGCAACGCUGCUAAGGGUGCAGAGCCACACAUGCGCUCCGAGCUCUGCAUGGGAGACUGAAGCUGACAGAGCUGCAGCAGUUAGCAGGUUUCACCCUCAGAGACCACCAGGGGUUCAUGUUGAGGCAUUUUCAGUUUUUUUUGUUUUUUUUUUGCCAUAGACACUGUCAGCACAAUCUGCAGUUACACUAACAAAAAUGCUGCAAAAAACAAAGAAUUAUGGAAAAAUUACACAUGGACUAACAUAGAGGAGGAUCUACACAAGUUUUUUACAUCAUGUUUUACAUCAUGCAUCAUUUACAUCAUGUUUUUUUUUAGUGGCAUAAAUAAAAAGUGACAUUUGUGAGACUAUACAGUGUUUUGUAAAUAAUUUUACAAAGAACACCUGGGCCAUUGCCUGCAUUUUGAUGUAAAUAGAGGUAAAUUACUAUGUUCUUUGUUAAAAAUUUGCAUAUGUUUUGAAGUUUACAAUUUUUAUUUGAAGUUUAAGUUUUAAAAACAGUUCAUCACACAUAUUUGUGGUUUUCACAGUAAAAACGUUACUUUUUUCCACUCGGAUUUUAUGUUUUGUGUGUGAAUUUGGGUCCAAUGUGUAAAUAUAGUAUGUCAAAAUGAUAAAAUAACUGUAAAUUGACACAGGUGAGGUUGUGCUGAAAAAAAUGAUACCAGGCAAGGCAAGGUAAAAAUUUUGUAAGAGGAAAUAUAAAGGUAAAAUCUAAAGUAGUCAAAAACGGCCAAUAGUGACUCACAGACUCCACAGACAAGUCCCUUUGGCGCCACUCAGUGGGCAAAACUACUUUGUCUACUGUAAUGUAUAUUUGGGUCAUCUUUGGCGCCCCCUAAAACGUAAACCGUGGGGUGCAGCAUCAUGAUCUUUACAACUUUGAAUGGCCAUGGAGUGUAGAUUGGCCUGAGCAAAUUUGGUGUCAGUGGGACGAAAGCCUUAGGAGGAGUUAGCGAAAUUCCAAUGUGUGCGAAUCGGCAAAAAAUGCAAAAUAGCCCUUUUACCGUACAUUAUACAGAUACGCGCCCUUUGACUUUUUCGUAGAUCUAAUUGAGAUACACAUGAUUGUCAAUUUUUGUGUCAUUUUGCCAAAGCGUACAGGCGUGACAGUCAACAAUGUGUAUUUUCACCUUAGGGGACAAGAAAAAAUGGACUUUUUUCUCCUGCCAUGGGGGGCGCUCUUUUAGGGAGUAAAAAUUCCUUCACAAAUGUGUUGAUGGCUGGACAUUGCAUCAUCCUAGAAAACUUGGAGGCCAGUGAGGACAAAAAUAAAAAGUUAUAAGACUUUUAAAAAUGUGGAUUUUUGGGUUAUCUUUGGCACCCCCUAGAACGUAAACCGUGGGGUGCAGCGUCAUGAUUUGAAUAACUUUUAAUGGCCAUGGGGUGUAAUUUGGCCUGAGCAAAUGUGGUGCCGGUGGAACGAAAGCCUUCGGAGGAGUUAGCGAAAUUCCAAUGUGUGCGAAUCGGCAAAAAAUGCGGAAUAACCCUUUAACCGUACAUUUGACAGAUACGCGCUCAUGGACUUUUUUGUAGAUCUUAUUGAGAUACAUGUGUGUGUCAAUUUUUGUGUCAUUUUGACAAAGCGUACAGGCGUGACACUCAACAAUGUGUAUUUUCACCUUAGGGGACAAGAAAAAAUGGACUUUUUUCUCCUGCCAUGGGGGGGCGCUCUUUUAGGGAGUAAAAAUUCCUUCACAAAUGUGUUGAUGGCUGGACAUUGCAUCAUCCUAGAAAACUUGGAGGCCAGUGAGGACAGAAAUAAAAAGUUAUAAGACUUUUAAAUAUGUGGAUUUUAGGGUUAUCUUUGGCGCCCCCUAGAACCUAAACCGUGGGGUGCAGCGUCAUGAUUUGAAUAACUUUUAAUGGCCAUGGGGUGUAGAUUGGCCUGAGCAAAUGUGGUGCCGGUGGAACGAAAGCCUUCGGAGGAGUUAGCGAAAUUCCAAUGUGUGCGGAUCGGCAAAAAAUGCGAAAUAACCCUUUAACCGUACAUUUGACAGAUACGCCCGCACUGACUUUUUUGUAGAUCUUAUUGAGAUACAUGUGUGUGUCAAUUUUUGUGUCAUUUUGACAAAGCGUACACGCGUGACAGUCAAUAGUGUGAAUUUUCACCUUAGGGGGCGCUAUGGAGCCAUUUUGCAUUUUCUUGUUUGGGCGACUUCGGAAUAUAAAAUUUUUCACCAGGCCCGGUCGUCCUGCCAAAUUUCAUGAGUUUUCGCCAGUGGGAAGUGGGCCAUUUUCCAGUUCAAAGGGGAGGAAAAAGAAAAAAGAAACAAAGAAAAACCCCUUGGGGAAUAAUAGGGCUCUCGCAGCUGCUUAGCAGCUACGCUCGGGCCCUAAAGAAAGAAAGAAAGAAACAAAGAAAAACCACUUGGGGAAUAAUAGGGCCUACGCCCGGCUGCUCUGCAGCUGGCUCGGGCCCUAAAAAGAAACAAAGAAAAACCACUUGGGGAAUAAUAGGGCUCUCGCAGCUGCUUAGCAGCUACGCUCGGGCCCUAACUAGGACCCCGUUGGGGCACUGGCGGGCCCGAGCCGUUUCGGGUCGCGUCCCCCCCCCCCCAACGUGCUGCCUCCCCGUCCCAUUUGUGUCCUCUGGCCAUCGCCCUCUCUGUUAACGCCCAUCACUGCAAAGACCCUUUUCCUUCAUCGGCGUUUGCUGUUCUUCCUGCCAGUGCGUGUUGCUUUCACUUACACUUGCCACAGCCAGCCUCGUGAGUGCCUAGCCUAUUGGAUAUCACUGUCACCUACACAGGACAGUCAUUACCUUUCUAUUAAUACUUUGUGUUUUAAUUUCACAUUAAUUUCCAUAUUGUAUAAACGACUGGAAAAAACUUGAGCCCCUGCCCCUGUAUAAUCAUGUGCAUGUCUCUGUUCUAGCUCCAAGGUGAAUCUUCACUGCUCAUGUUCUCCUCAGAAGCACUCACCUCACUCCCCUCAGGUUACUGUACACAUGCACCAACUGCCUGCUUCAGGUUUGGAUGGAGCUUCAUGGUUGUCUUUUGGAGAAAUUACCAGUCAAGUUGUGUUUGAAAUUUGAUUUUUUUCAGGGGCAAAAGGAGCCUCUGCAUUCUUGUCAAAUAUGUAAAUAGCAUGUUUUUGCAGGUGCUAAAAACCAGACUCUGAGUGUGUGUGUGUGUGUGUGUGUGUGUGUGUGUGUGUGUGUGAGUGUGCGUGUGUGUGUGUCUAUGUGUGCGUUCAAGUCACAUGACAUAUUUAACCGGAUGUAGCUGCAAGACGGAGCCUCGUUGACUCUCCGUUUCAACUUAUCUCAAAAGUGAGGACCUCAACCUAUAUACCAGUUUUUAAAUUGUGUUGAUAGGCCAAAUAAAACCAGAGUUAUGAUAAAUUAUGUCCGCGAUACUUUUUUUCUGCUUAUUUUGAUCACGUUCGGCGCUCGAUCGCGCUGUAUGAGACAGGAAAACACAGCAUGCAGACAUUAACGACAGGUCUUACAGGCGGAAAAGGCUUGCCAAAAGAAAAAAAAAACACACCACAACAUCUCUCCUAUUGGUGGAAAACUUCACCACAACAACCAAUCCAAAAUUAUAUGGUGACUGAUUGACAAGGGGCGGGCGCUUACGUUCUUCCUGCAACAUGAGAAGGGAGGGAGGGACUCUCAGCAGGGAUGCAGUCUGGGACACGUAGUUGCAAACCUAGCGACUUUGUUGUUAGAUUCAAUGACUUUUCAGACCCCCUAACGACUUUUUUUUAGAAAGAAAGGGACUUUUAUCGACUUCUUCUGGAGUUUAGAGACUCUGACAUGAAGCAGGCUUUCCUUACUGAGGAGUUAGCAACGCUGCUAAGGGUGCAGAGCCACACAUGCGCUCAGAGCUCUGCAUGGGAGACUGAAGCUGACAGAGCUGCAGCAGUUAGCAGGUUUCACCCUCAGAGACCACCAGGGGUUCAUGUUGAGGCAUUUUAAUUUUUUUUUUUUUUUUUUGCCAUAGACACUGUCAGCACAAUCUGCAGUUACACUAACAAAAAUGCUGCAAAAAACAAAGAAUUAUGGAAAAAUUACACAUGGACUGACAUAGAGGAGGAUCUACACAAGUUUUUUACAUCAUGUUUUACAUCAUGCAUCAUUUACAUCAUGUUUUUUUGUAGUGGCAUAAAUAAAAAGUGACAUUUGUGAGACUAUACAGUGUUUUGUAAAUAAUUUUACAAAGAACGCCUGGGCCAUUGCCUGCAUUUUGAUGUAAAUAGAGGUAAAUCACUAUGUUCUUUGUUAAAAAUUUGCAUAUGUUUUGAAGUUUACAAUUUUUAUUUGAAGUUUAAGUUUUAAAAACAGUUCAUCACACAUAUUUGUGGUUUUCACAGUAAAAAUGUUACUUUUUUCCACUCGGAUUUUAUGUUUUGUGUGUGAAUUUGGGUCCAUUGUGUAAAUUCAGUAUGUCAACAUGAUAAAAUAACUGUAAAUUCGCACAGGUGAGGUUGUGCUGAAAAAAAUGAUACCAGGCAAGGCACGUGAUUGUCAAAUUUUGUGUCAAUAUGACAAAGCGUAUAGGCGUGAAUCUCAACAAUAUGUAUUUUCACCUUAAGGGACAAGAAAAAAUGGACUUUUUUCUCCUGCCAUGGGGGGUGGGCGCUCUUUUGGGGAGUAAAAAUUCCUUCACAAAUGUGUUGAUGGCUGGACAUUGCAUCAUCCUAGAAAACUUGGAGGCCAGUGAGGGCAAAAAUAAAAAGUUAUAAGACUUUUAAAUAUGUGGAUUUUAGGGUUUUCUUUGGCGCCCCCUAGAACGUAAACUGUGGGGUGCAGCGUCAUGAUUUUGAUAACUUUUAAUGGCCAUGGGGUGUAGAUUGGCCUGAGCAAAUGUGGUGCCGGUGGAACGAAAGCCUUAGGAGGAGUUAGCCACAUUCCAAUGUGUGCGGAUCUGCAAAAAAUGUGAAAUAACCCUUUAACUGUACAUUUUACAUAUACGUGGCCAUUGACUUUGUCGAAGAUCUUAUUGAAAUACACGUGUAUGUCAAAUUUUGUGUCAUUUUGACAAAGCGUACAGGCGUGACACUCUACAAUGUGUAUUUUCACCUUAGGGGACAAGAAAAAAUGGACUUUUUUCUCCUGCCAUGGGGGGGCGCUCUUUUGGGGAGUAAAAAUUCCUUCACAAAUGUGUUGAUGGCUGGACAUUGCAUCAUCCUAGAAAACUUGGAGGCCAGUGAGGGCAAAAAUAAAAAGUUAUAAGACUUUUAAAUAUGUGGAUUUUAGGGUUAUCUUUGGCGCCCCCUAGAACGUAAACUGUGGGGUGCAGCGUCAUGAUUUUGAUAACUUUUAAUGGCCAUGGGGUGUAGAUUGGCCUGAGCAAAUGUGGUGCCGGUGGAACGAAAGCCUUAGGAGGAGUUAGCCACAUUCCAAUGUGUGCGGAUCGGCAAAAAAUGCGGAAUAACCCUUUAACCGUACAUUUGACAGAUACGCGCGCAUUGACUUUUUCGUAGAUCUUAUUGAGUUACAUGUGUGUGUCAAUUUUUGUGUCAUUUUGACAAAGCGUAUAGGCGUGACACUCAACAAUGUGUAUUUUCACCUUAGGGGACAAGAAAAAAUGGACUUUUUUCUCCUGCCAUGGGGGGGCGCUCUUUUUGGGAGUAAAAAUUCCUUCACAAAUGUGUUGAUGGCUGGACAUUGCAUCAUCCUAGAAAACUUGGAGGCCAGUGAGGACAAAAAUAAAAAGUUAUAAGACUUUUAAAUAUGUGGAUUUUAGGGUUGUCUUUGGCGCCCCCUAGAACCUAAACCGUGGGGUGCAGCGUCAUGAUUUGAAUAACUUUUAAUGGCCAUGGGGUGUAGAUUGGCCUGAGCAAAUGUGGUGCCGGUGGAACGAAAGCCUUAGGAGGAGUUAGCGAAAUUCCAAUGUGUGCGGAUCGGCAAAAAAUGCGGAAUAACCCUUUAACCGUACAUUUGACAGAUACGCGCGCAUUGACUUUUUCGUAGAUCUUAUUGAGUUACAUGUGUGUGUCAAUUUUUGUGUCAUUUUGACAAAACGUAUAGGCGUGACACUCAACAAUGUGUAUUUUCACCUUAGGGGACAAGAAAAAAUGGACUUUUUUCUCCUGCCAUGGGGGGGCGCUCUUUUGGGGAGUAAAAAUUCCUUCACAAAUGUGUUGAUGGCUGGACAUUGCAUCAUCCUAGAAAACUUGGAGGCCAGUGAGGACAAAAAUAAAAAGUUAUAAGACUUUUAAAUAUGUGGAUUUUAGUGUUAUCUUUGGCGCCCCCUAGAACCUAAACCUUGGGGUGCAGCGUCAUGAUUUUGAUAACUUUUAAUGGCCACGGGGUGUAGAUUGGCCUGAGCAAAUGUGGUGCCGGUGGAACGAAAGCCUUCGGAGGAGUUAGCGAAAUUCCAAUGUGUGCGGAUCGGCAAAAAAUGCGAAAUAACCCUUUAACCGUAAUUUUGACAGAUACGGCCGCACUGACUUUUUUGUAGAUCUUAUUGAGAUACAUGUGUGUGUCAAUUUUUGUGUCAUUUUGACAAAGCGUACAGUCGUGACAGUGAAUAGUGUGAAUUUUCACCUUAGGGGGCGCUAUGGAGCCAUUUUGCAUUUUAUUGUUUUGGCGACUUCAGAAUAUCAAAUUUUUCACCAGGCCCGGUCGUCCUGCCAAAUUUCAUGAGUUUUCGCCAGUGGGAAGUGGGCCAUUUUCCAGUUCAAAGGGGAGGAAAAAGAAAAAAGAAAGAAAGAAACAAAGACUAGGGCCCCGUUGGGGCACUGGCGGGCCCGAGCUGUGUCGCGCCCCCCGCCCAUCACUGCAAAGACCCUUUUCCUUCAUCGGCGUUUGCUGUUCUUCCUGCCAGUGCGUGUGGCUUUCACUUGCACUUGCCACAGCCAGCCUCGUGAGUGCCUAGCCUAUUGGAUAUCACUGUCACCUACACAGGACAGUCAUUACCUUUCUAUUAAUACUUUGUUUUUUAAUUUCACAUUAAUUUCCAUAUUGUAUAAACGACUGGAAAAAACUUGAGCCCCUGCCCCUGUAUAAUCAUGUGCACGUCCCUGUUCUAGCUCCAAGGUGAAUCUUCACUGCUCAUGUUCUCCUCAGAAGCAGUCACCUCACUCCCCUCAGGUUACUGUACACAUGCACCAACUGCCUGCUUCAGGUUUGGAUGGAGCUUCAUGGUUGUCUUUUGGAGAAAUGAGCAGUCAAGUUGUGUUUGAAAUUUCAUUUUUUUCAGGGGCAAAAGGAAGUCUCUGCAUUGUUGUCAAAUAUGUAAAUAGCAUGUUUUUGCAGGUGCUGAAAAACAGACUCUGAGUGUGUGUGUGUGUGUGUGUGUGUGUGUGUGUGUGUGUGUGUGUGUGUGUGUGCGUGUGUGUGUGUGUGUGUCUGUGUGUGUGUGUCUGUGUGUGUGUAUCCUGCAGUACUCUGUACUCCUGCAGUGGCCAAAACGACUUUUAAGAAUGUGGAUAUUUGGGUCAUCUUUGGCGCCCCCUAGAACGUAAACCGUGGGGUGCAGCGUCAUGAUUUUUACAACUUUGAAUGGCCAUGGGGUGUAGAUUGGCCUGAGCAAAUUUGGUGUCAGUGGAACGAAAGCCUUAGGAGGAGUUAGCCACAUUCCAAUGUGUGCGAAUCGGCAAAAAAUGCGAAAUAGCCCUUUAACCGUACAUUUUACAGAUACGUGCACAUUGACUUUUUCGUAGAUCUUAUUGAGAUACACGUGAUUGUCAAAUUUUGUGUCAAUAUGACAAAGCGUACAGGCGUGACACUCAACAAUGUGUAUUUUCGCAUUAGGGGACAAGAAAAAAAUGGACUUUUUUCUCCUGCCAUGGGGGGGCGCUCUUUUGGCGAGUAAAAAUUCCUUCACAAAUGUGUUAAUUGCUGGACAUUGCAUCAUCCUAGAGAACUUGGAGGCCAGUGAGGACAAAAAUAAAAAGUUAUAAGACUUUUAAGAAUGUGGAUUUUUGGGUUAUCUUUGGCGCCCCCUAGAACGUAAACCGUGGGGUGCAGCGUCAUGAUUUGCACAACUUUUAAUGGCCAUGGGGUGUAGAUUGGCCUGAGCAAAUUUGGUGCCGGUGGAACGAAAGCCUUCGGAGGAGUUAGCGAAAUUCCAAUGUGUGCGGAUCGGCAAAAAAUGCGAAAUAACCCUUUAACCGUACAUUUGACAGAUACGCCCACACUGACUUUUUUGUAGAUCGUAUUGAGAUACAUGUGUGUGUCAAUUUUUGUGUCAAUAUGACAAAGCGUACAAGCGUGACAGUCAAUAGUGUGAAUUUCCACCUUAGGGGGCGCUAUGGAGCCAUUUUGCAUUUUAUUGUUUGGGCGACUUCAGAAUAUCGAAUUUUUCACCAGGCCCGGUCAUCCUGCCAAAUGUCAUGAGUUUUCGCCAGUGGGAAGUGGGCCAUUUUCCCCUUCAAAGGGGAGGAAAAAUAAGACUAGGGCCCCGUUGGGGCACUGGCGGGCCCGAGCCGCGUUGCGCCGCCCCCAGUGCGACCGCCUCCACCUCCCGAUCGCGUCACACUCAAGGUCCAAAGAUGGUGUGCGCACUUGUCUGUGGUCAUUUCCCAUUAUAAUGAAUGGGAGGCGCAGUUUCUACCAAAACACUCGCUGCAGACAAACUACAUGUCCUAUUUGAAAAAAGUCUGGACCCUGAGUGAGGGCACAAACACAGCUAGGAUAUAUUUAAACGGCAAGUUGCUCCUCGUUACGGUGUUGCCGGGAGAGCGAUGCGAUUGAGCCAUUGAGUGAUGGGCAGGAAAAACUUGACUGUUUCUCCUGCCAUGGGGGAUGGGGGAUGGGGGAUGGGGGGGGGGGGGAUGUGGAUUCUUUUAAGAAUGUGGAUAUUUGGGUCAUCUUUGGCGCCCCCUAGAACGUAAACCGUGGGGUGCAGCGUCAUGAUUUUUAAAACUUUGAAUGGCCAUGGGGUGUAGAUUGGCCUGAGCAAAUUUGGUGUCAGUGGGAUGAAAGCCUUAGGAGGAGUUAGCCACAUUCCAAUGUGUGCUAAUCGGCAAAAAAUGCAAAAUAGCCCUUUAACCGUACAUUUUACAGAUACACGCGCAUUGACUUUUUCGUAGAUCUUAUUGAGAUACAUGUGUGUGUCAAAUUUUGUGUCAAUAUGACAAAGCGUACAGGUAUGACAGUCAACAAUGUUUAUUUUCACCUUAUGGGACAAGAAAAAAUGGACUUUUUUCUCCUGCCAUGGGGGGGCGCUCUUUUGGGGAGUAAAAAUUCCUUCACAAAUGUGUUGAUGGCUGGACAUUGCAUCAUCCUAGAAAACUUGGAGGCCAGAGAGGACAAAAAUAAAAAGUUAUAAGACUUUUAAAUAUGUGGAUUUUAGGGUUAUCUUUGGCGCCCCCUAGAACCUAAACCGUGGGGUGCAGCGUCAUGAUUUGAAUAACUUUUAAUGGCCAUGGGGUGUAGAUUGGCCUGAGCAAAUGUGGUGCCGGUGGAACGAAAGCCUUCGGAGGAGUUAGCGAAAUUCCAAUGUGUGCGGAUCGGCAAAAAAUGCGGAAUAACCCUUUAACCGUACAUUUGACAGAUACGCCCGCACUGACUUUUUUGUAGAUCUUAUUGAGAUACAUGUGUGUGUCAAAUUUUGUGUCAUUUUGACAAAGCGUACAGGCGUGACACUCAAUAGUGUGAAUUUUCACCUUAGGGGGCGCUAUGGAGCCAUUUUGCAUUUUCUUGUUUGGGCGACUUCGGAAUAUCAAAUUUUUCACCAGGCCCGGUCGUCCUGCCAAAUUUCAUGAGUUUUCGCCAGUGGGAAGUGGGCCAUUUUCCAGUUCAAAGGGGAGGAAAAAUAAUAACUAGGACCCCGUUGGGGCACUGGCGGGCCCGAGCCGUGUCGCGUCUCCCCCCCCCCCCCCCCAACAUGCUGCCUCCCCGUCCCAUUUGUGUCCUCUGGCCAUCGCCCUCUCUGUUAACGCCCAUCACUGCAAAGACCCUUUUCCUUCAUCGGCGUUUGCUGUUCUUCCUGCCAGUGCGUGUUGCUUUCACUUACACUUGCCACAGCCAGCCUCGUGAGUGCCUAGCCUAUUGGAUAUCACUGUCACCUACACAGGACAGUCAUUACCUUUCUAUUUAGGGCCCGAGCGUAGCUGCUAAGCAGCUGCGAGAGCCCUCUUGUUCCUGAUGGAUUCUUCUUUUGUUAUUAUUAUUAGGGCCCGAGCGUAGCUGCUAAGCAGCUGCGAGAGCCCUCUUGUUCCUGAUGGAUUCUUCUUUUGUUAUUAUUAUUAUUAUUUUUCCUCCGCUUUAAACUGGAAAAUGGCCCACUUCCCACUGGCGAAAACUCAUGAAAUUUGGCAGGACGACCGGGCCUGGUGAAAAAUUCAAUAUUCUGAAGUCGCCCAAACAAUAAAAUGCAAAAUGGCUCCAUAGCGCCCCCUAAGGUGGAAAUUCACACUAUUGACUGUCACGUCUGUACGUUUUGUCAUAUUGACACAAAAAUUGACACACAUAUGUAUCUCAAUAAGAUCUACAAAAAAGUCAGUGCGGGCGUAUCUGUCAAAUGUACGGUUAAAGGGUUAUUUCGCAUUUUUUGCCGAUCCGCACACAUUGGAAUUUCGCUAACUCCUCCGAAGGCUUUCGUUCCACCGGCACCACAUUUGCUCAGGCCAGUCUACACCCCAUGGCCAUUAAAAGUUGUACAAAUCAUGACGCUGCACCCCACGGUUUAGGUUCUAGGGGGCGCCAAAGAUAACCCAAAAAUCCACAUUUUUAAAAGUCUUAUAACUUUUUAUUUUUGUCCUCACUGCCCUCCAAGUUUUCUAGGAUGAUGCAAUGUCCAGCCAUCAACACAUUUGUGAAGGAAUUUUUACUCCCCAAAAGAGCGCCCCCCCAUGGCAGGAGAAAAAAGUCAAUUUUUUCUUGUCCCCUUACAUGAAAAUACACAUUGUUGAGUGUCACGCCUGAACGCUUUGUCAUAUUGACACAAAAAUUGACAAUCAUGUGUAUCUCAAUUAGAUCUACGAAAAAGUCAAAGAGCGCGUAUCUGUAUAAUGUACGGUUAAAGGGCUAUUUCGCAUUUUUUGCCGAUUCGCACACAUUGGAAUGUGGCUAUCUCCUCCUAAGGCUUUCGUCCCACUGAUACCAAAUUUGCUCAGGGCAAUCUACACCCCAUGCCCAUUCAAAGUUGUAAAAAUCAUGACGCUGCACCCCACGGUUUACGUUCUAGGGGGCGCCAAAGAUGACCCAAAAAUCCACAUUCUUAAAAGUCAUUUUGGCCACUGCAGGAGUACAGAGUACUGCAGUUCUAGGGGGCGCCAAAGAUGACCCAAAAAUCCACAUUCUUAAAAGUCUUUUUGGCCACUGCAGGAGUACAGAGUACUGCAGGAUACACACACAUAUACACACACGCCAACACACACACACACACACACACACACACACACACACACACACACACUCAGAGUCUGUUUUUUAGCACCUGCAAAAACAUGCUGUUUACAUAUUUGACAAGAAUGCAGAGGCUUCCUUUUGCCCCUGAAAAAAAUCAAAUUUCAAACACAACUUGACUGUUCAUUUCUCCAAAAGACAACCAUGAAGCUCCAUCCAAACCUGAAGCAGAUAGUUGGUGCAUGUGUACAGUAACCUGAGGGGAGUGAGGUGACUAUUUCUGAGGAGAACAUGAGCAGUGAAGAUUCACCUUGGAGCUAGAACAGGGACGUGCACAUGAUUAUACAGGGGCAGGGGCUCAAGUUUUUUCCAGUCAUUUAUACAAUAUGGAAAUUAAUGUGAAAUUAAAAAACAAAGUAUUAAUAGAAAGGUUAUGACUGUCCUGUGUAGAUGACAGUGAUAUCCAAUAGGCUAGGCACUCACGAGGCUGGCUGUGGCAAGUGUAAGUGAAAGCAACACGCACUGGCAGGAAGAACAGCAAACGCCGAUGAAGGAAAGGGUCUUUGCAGUGAUGGGCGUUACCAGAGAGGACGAUGGCCAGAGGACGCGAAUGGGACGGGGAGGCAGCGCGUUGGGGGGGGCAGCGCGACACGGCUCGGGCCCGCCAGUGCCCCAACGGGGCCCUAGUUAUUAUUUUUCCUCCGCUUUAAACUGGAAAAUGGCCCACUUCCCACUGGCGAAAACUCAUGAAAUUUGGCAGGACGACCGGGCCUGGUGAAAAAUUCGAUAUUUUGAAGUCGCCCAAACAAUAAAAUGCAAAAUGGCUCCAUAGCGCCCCCUAAGGUGAAAAUUCACACUAUUGACUGUCACGUCUGUACGUUUUGUCAUAUUGACACAAAAAUUGACACACAUAUGUAUCUCAAUAAGAUCUACAAAAAAGUCAGUGCGGGCGUAUCUGUCAAAUGUACAGUUAAAGGGUUAUUUCGCAUUUUUUGCCGAUCCGCACACAUUGGAAUUUCUCUAACUCCUCCGAAGGCUUUCGUUCCACCGGCACCACAUUUGCUCAGGCCAGUCUACACCCCAUGGCCAUUAAAAGUUGUACAAAUCAUGACGCUGCACCCCACGGUUUAGGUUCUAGGGGGCGCCAAAGAUAACCCAAAAAUCCACAUUCUUAAAAGUCUUAUAACUUUUUAUUUUUGUCCUCACUCCCUCCAAGUUUUCUAGGAUGAUGCAAUGUCCAGCCAUCAACACAUUUGUGAAGGAAUUUUUACUCCCCAAAAGAGCGCCCCCCCAUGGCAGGAGAAAAAAGUCAAUUUUUUCUUGUCCCCUUACAUGAAAAUACACAUUGUUGAGUGUCACGCCUGAACGCUUUGUCAUAUUGACACAAAAAUUGACAAUCAUGUGUAUCUCAAUUAGAUCUACGAAAAAGUCAAAGAGCGCGUAUCUGUAUAAUGUACGGUUAAAGGGCUAUUUCGCAUUUUUUGCCGAUUCGCACACAUUGGAAUGUGGCUAUCUCCUCCUAAGGCUUUCGUCCCACUGAUACCAAAUUUGCUCAGGGCAAUCUACACCCCAUGCCCAUUCAAAGUUGUAAAAAUCAUGACGCUGCACCCCACGGUUUACGUUCUAGGGGGCGCCAAAGAUGACCCAAAAAUCCACAUUCUUAAAAGUCAUUUUGGCCACUGCAGGAGUACAGAGUACUGCAGGUUCUAGGGGGCGCCAAAGAUGACCCAAAAAUCCACAUUCUUAAAAGUCUUUUUGGCCACUGCAGGAGUACAGAGUACUGCAGGAUACACACACAUAUACACACACGCCAACACACACACACACACACACACACACACACACACACACACACACACACACACACACACACUCAGAGUCUGUUUUUUAGCACCUGCAAAAACAUGCUGUUUACAUAUUUGACAAGAAUGCAGAGGCUUCCUUUUGCCCCUGAAAAAAAUCAAAUUUCAAACACAACUUGACUGUUCAUUUCUCCAAAAGACAACCAUGAAGCUCCAUCCAAACCUGAAGCAGAUAGUUGGUGCAUGUGUACAGUAACCUGAGGGGAGUGAGGUGACUAUUUCUGAGGAGAACAUGAGCAGUGAAGAUUCACCUUGGAGCUAGAACAGGGACGUGCACAUGAUUAUACAGGGGCAGGGGCUCAAGUUUUUUCCAGUCAUUUAUACAAUAUGGAAAUUAAUGUGAAAUUAAAAAACAAAGUAUUAAUAGAAAGGUUAUGACUGUCCUGUGUAGAUGACAGUGAUAUCCAAUAGGCUAGGCACUCACGAGGCUGGCUGUGGCAAGUGUAAGUGAAAGCAACACGCACUGGCAGGAAGAACAGCAAACGCCGAUGAAGGAAAGGGUCUUUGCAGUGAUGGGCGUUACCAGAGAGGACGAUGGCCAGAGGACGCGAAUGGGACGGGGAGGCAGCGCGUUGGGGGGGGCAGCGCGACACGGCUCGGGCCCGCCAGUGCCCCAACGGGGCCCUAGUUAUUAUUAUUUUUCCUCCGCUUUAAACUGGAAAAUGGCCCACUUCCCACUGGGGAAAACUCAUGAAAUUUGGCAGGACGACCGGGCCUGGUGAAAAAUUCGAUAUUCUGAAGUCGCCCAAACAAGAAAAUGCAAAAUGGCUCCAUAGCGCCCCCUAAGGUGAAAAUUCACACUAUUGACUGUCACGCCUGUACGCUUUGUCAUAUUGACACAAAAAUUGACACACACAUGUAUCUCAAUAAGAUCUACAAAAAAGUCAGUGCGGGCGUAUCUGUCAAAUGUACGGUUAAAGGGUUAUUUUGCAUUUUUUGCAGAUCCGCACACAUUGGAAUUUCGCUAACUCCUCCGAAGGCUUUCGUUCCACCGGCACCACAUUUGCUCAGGCCAAUCUACACUCCAUGGCCAUUCAAAGUUGUACAAAUCAUAAUGCUGCACCCCAUGGUUUAGGUUCUAGGGGGCGCCAAAAAUAACCCAAAAAUCCACAUUCUUAAAAGUUUUAUAAAUUUUUUUUUUUGUCCUCACUGGCCUCCAAGUUUUCUAGGAUGAUGCAAUGUCCAGCCAUCAACACAUUUGUGAAGGAAUUUUUACUCCCCAAAAGAGCGCCCCCCCAUGGCAGGAAUAAAAAGUCCAUUUUUUCUUGUCCCCUAAGGUGAAAAUACACAUUGUUGAGUGUCACGCCUGUACGCUUUGUCGUAUUGACAAAAAAUUUGACACACACGUGUAUCUCAAUAAGAUCUACGAAAAAGUCAAUGGGCGCGUAUCUGUAAAAUGUACGGCUAAAGGGCUAUUUUGCAUUUUUUGCCGAUUCGCACACAUUGGAAUGUGGCUAACUCCUCCUAAGGCUUUCGUCCCACUGACACCAAAUUUGCUCAGGCCAAUCUACACCUCAUGGCCAUUCAAAGUUGUAAAAAUCAUGCCGCUGCACCCCAUGGUUUACGUUCUAGGGGGCGCCAAAGAUGACCCAAAUAUCCACAUUCUUAAAAGUCGUUUUGGCUUCUGCAGGAGUACAGAGUACUGCAGGAUACACACACACAGACACACACACACACAGACACACACACACACACACACACACACACACACACACUCACAGUCUGUUUUUUAGCACCUGCAAAAACAUGCUAUUUACAUAUUUGACAACAAUGCAGAGGCUUCCUUUUGCCCCUGAAAAAAAUCAAAUUUCUAACACAACUUGACUGCUCAUUUCUCCAAAAGACAACCAUGAAGCUCCAUCCAAACCUGAAGCAGGCAGUUGGUGCAUGUGUACAGUAACCUGAGGGGAGUGAGGUGACUGCUUCUGAGGAGAACAUGAGCAGUGAAGAUUCACCUUGGAGCGAGAACAGGGACGUGCACAUGAUUAUACGGGGGCAGGGGCUCAAGUUUUUUCCAGUCGUUUAUACAAUAUGGAAAUUAAUGUGAAAUUAAAAAACAAAGUAUUAAUAGAAAGGUAAUGACUGUCCUGUGUAGGUGACAGUGAUAUCCAAUAGGCUAGGCACUCACAAGGCUGGCUGUGGCAAGUGUAAGUGAAAGCAACACGCACUGGCAGGAAGAACAGCAAACGCCGAUGAAGGAAAAGGGUCUUUGCAGUGAUGGGCGUUACCAGAGAGGAUGAUGGCCAGAGGACGCGAAUGGGACGGGGAGGCAGCGCGUUGGGGGGGGGGGGGGACGACACAGCUCGGGCCCGCCAGUGCCCCAACGGGGCCCUAGUAAUACUUUGUGUUUUAAUUUCACAUUAAUUUCCAUAUUGUAUAAACGACUGGAAAAAACUUGAGCCCCUGCCCCUGUAUAAUCAUGUGCAUGUCUCUGUUCUAGCUCCAAGGUGAAUCUUCACUGCUCAUGUUCUCCUCAGAAGCACUCACCUCACUCCCCUCAGGUUACUGUACACAUGCACCAACUGCCUGCUUCAGGUUUGGAUGGAGCUUCAUGGUUGUCUUUUGGAGAAAUGACCAGUCAAGUUGUGUUUGAAAUUUGAUUUUUUUCAGGGGCAAAAGGAGCCUCUGCAUUCUUGUCAAAUAUGUAAAUAGCAUGUUUUUGCAGGUGCUAAAAACCAGACUCUGAGUGUGUGUGUGUGUGUGUGUGUGUGUGUGUGUGUGCGUGUGUGUGUGUCUGUGUGUGCGUUCAAGUCACAUGACAUAUUUAACCGGAUGUAGCUGCAAGACGGAGCCUCGUUGACUCUCCGUUUCAACUUAUCUCAAAAGUGAGGACCUCAACCUAUAUACCAGUUUUUAAAUUGUGUUGAUAGGCCAAAUAAAACCAGAGUUAUGAUAAAUUAUGUCCGCGAUACUUUUUUUCUGCUUAUUUUGAUCACGUUCGGCGCUCGAUCGCGCUGUAUGAGACAGGAAAACAUAGCAUGCAGACAUUAGCGACAGGUCUUACAGGCGGAAAAGGCUUGCCAAAAGAAAAAAAAAACACACCACAACAUCUCUCCUAUUGGUGGAAAACUUCACCACAACAACCAAUCCAAAAUUAUAUGGUGACUGAUUGACAAGGGGCGGGCGCUUACGUUCUUCCUGCAACAUGAGAAGGGAGGGAGGGACUCUCAGCAGGGAUGCAGUCUGGGACACGUAGUUGCAAACCUAGCGACUUUGUUGUUAGAUUCAAUGACUUUUCAGACCCCCUAAUGACUUUUUUUUAGAAAGAAAGGGACUUUUAUCGACUUCUUCUGGAGUUUAGAGACUCUGACAUGAAGCAGGCUUUCCUUACUGAGGAGUUAGCAACGCUGCUAAGGGUGCAGAGCCACACAUGCGCUCAGAGCUCUGCAUGGGAGACUGAAGCUGACAGAGCUGCAGCAGUUAGCAGGUUUCACCCUCAGAGACCACCAGGGGUUCAUGUUGAGGCAUUUUAAUUUUUUUUUUUUUUUGUGCCAUAGACACUGUCAGCACAAUCUGCAGUUACACUAACAAAAAUGCUGCAAAAAACAAAGAAUUAUGGAAAAAUUACACAUGGACUGACAUAGAGGAGGAUCUACACAAGUUUUUUACAUCAUGUUUUACAUCAUGCAUCAUUUACAUCAUGUUUUUUUGUAGUGGCAUAAAUAAAAAGUGACAUUUGUGAGACUAUACAGUGUUUUGUAAAUAAUUUUACAAAGAACGCCUGGGCCAUUGCCUGCAUUUUGAUGUAAAUAGAGGUAAAUCACUAUGUUCUUUGUUAAAAAUUUGCAUAUGUUUUGAAGUUUACAAUUUUUAUUUGAAGUUUAAGUUUUAAAAACAGUUCAUCACACAUAUUUGUGGUUUUCACAGUAAAAAUGUUACUUUUUUCCACUCGGAUUUUAUGUUUUGUGUGUGAAUUUGGGUCCAUUGUGUAAAUUCAGUAUGUCAACAUGAUAAAAUAACUGUAAAUUCGCACAGGUGAGGUUGUGCUGAAAAAAAUGAUACCAGGCAAGGCACGUGAUUGUCAAAUUUUGUGUCAUUAUGACAAAGCGUAUAGGCGUGAAUCUCAACAAUAUGUAUUUUCACCUUAGGGGACAAGAAAAAAUGGACUUUUUUCUCCUGCCAUGGGGGGCGCUCUUUUGGGGAGUAAAAAUUCCUUCACAAAUGUGUUGAUGGCUGGACAUUGCAUCAUCCUAGAAAACUUGGAGGCCAGUGAGGACAAAAAUAAAAAGUUAUAAGACUUUUAAAUAUGUGGAUUUUAGGGUUAUCUUUGGCGCCCCCUAGAACCUAAACCGUGGGGUGCAGCGUCAUGAUUUGAAUAACUUUUCAUGGCCAUGGGGUGUAGAUUGGCCUGAGCAAAUGUGGUGCCGGUGGAACGAAAGCCUUAGGAGGAGUUAGCCACAUUCCAAUGUGUGCUGAUCGGCAAAAAAUGCGGAAUAACCCUUUAACCGUACAUUUGACAGAUACGCGCGCAUUGACUUUUUCGUAGAUCUUAUUGAGUUACAUGUGUGUGUCAAUUUUUGUGUCAUUUUGACAAAGCGUAUAGGCGUGACACUCAACAAUGUGUAUUUUCACCUUAGGGGACAAGAAAAAAUGGACUUUUUUCUCCUGCCAUGGGGGGCGCUCUUUUGGGGAGUAAAAAUUCCUUCACAAAUGUGUUGAUGGCUGGACAUUGCAUCAUCCUAGAAAACUUGGAGGCCAGUGAGGACAAAAAUAAAAAGUUAUAAGACUUUUAAAUAUGUGGAUUUUAGUGUUAUCUUUGGCGCCCCCUAGAACCUAAACCUUGGGGUGCAGCGUCAUGAUUUUGAUAACUUUUAAUGGCCACGGGGUGUAGAUUGGCCUGAGCAAAUGUGGUGCCGGUGGAACGAAAGCCUUCGGAGAAGUUAGCGAAAUUCCAAUGUGUGCGGAUCGGCAAAAAAUGCGAAAUAACCCUUUAACCGUAAUUUUGACAGAUACGGCCGCACUGACUUUUUUGUAGAUCUUAUUGAGAUACAUGUGUGUGUCAAUUUUUGUGUCAUUUUGACAAAGCGUACAGUCGUGACAGUGAAUAGUGUGAAUUUUCACCUUAGGGGGCGCUAUGGAGCCAUUUUGCAUUUUAUUGUUUUGGCGACUUCAGAAUAUCAAAUUUUUCACCAGGCCCGGUCGUCCUGCCAAAUUUCAUGAGUUUUCGCCAGUGGGAAGUGGGCCAUUUUCCAGUUCAAAGGGGAGGAAAAAGAAAAAAGAAAGAAAGAAACAAAGAAAAACCACUUGGGGAAUAAUAGGGCCUACGCCCGGCUGCUCUGCAGCUGGCUCGGGCCCUAACUAGGACCCCGUUGGGGCACUGGCGGGCCCGAGCUGUGUCGCGUCCCCCCCCCAACGCGCUGCCUCCCCGUCCCAUUUGUGUCCUCUGGCCAUCGCCCUCUCUGGUAACGCCCAUCACUGCAAAGACCCUUUUCCUUCAUCGGCGUUUGCUGUUCUUCCUGCCAGUGCGUGUUGCUUUCACUUACACUUGCCACAGCCAGCCUCGUGAGUGCCUAGCCUAUUGGAUAUCACUGUCACCUACUCAGGACAGUCAUUACCUUUCUAUUAAUACUUUGUUUUUUAAUUUCACAUUAAUUUCCAUAUUGUAUAAACAACUGGAAAAAACUUGAGCCCCUGCCCCUGUAUAAUCAUGUGCACGUCUCUGUUCUAGCUCUAAGGUGAAUCUUCACUGCUCAUGUUCUCCUCAGAAGCAGUCACCUCACUCCCCUCAGGUUACUGUACACAUGCACCAACUGCCUGCUUCAGGUUUGGAUGGAGCUUCAUGGUUGUCUUUUGGAGAAAUGACCAGUCAAGUUGUGUUUGAAAUUUGAUUUUUUUCAGGGGCAAAAGGAGCCUCUGCAUUCUUGUCAAAUAUGUAAAUAGCAUGUUUUUGCAGGUGCUAAAAACCAGACUCUGAGUGUGUGUGUGUGCGUGUGUGUGUGUGUCUGUGUGUGUGUGUGUGUGUGUGUGUGUGUGUGUGUGUGUGUGCGUUCAAGUCACAUGACAUAUUUAACCGGAUGUAGCUGCAAGACGGAGCCUCGUUGACUCCGUUUCAACUUAUCUCAAAAGUGAGGACCUCAACCUAUAUACCAGUUUUUAAAUUGUGUUGAUAGGCCAAAUAAAACCAGAGUUAUGAUAAAUUAUGUCCGCGAUACUUGUUUUCUGCUUAUUUUGAUCACGUUCGGCGCUCGAUCGCGCUGUAUGAGACAGGAAAACAUAGCAUGCAGACAUUAGCGACAGGUCUUACAGGCGGAAAAGGCUUGCCAAAGGAAAAAAAAAACACACCACAACAUCUCUCCUAUUGGUGGAAAACUUCACCACAACAACCAAUCCAAAAUUAUAUGGUGACUGAUUGACAAGGGGCGGACGCUUACGUUCUUCCUGCAAUAUGAGAAGGGAGGGAGGGACUCUAAGCAGGGAUGCAGUCUGGGACACGUAGUUGCAAACCUAGCGACUUUGUUGUUAGAUUCAAUGACUUUUCAGACCCCCUAACGACUUUUUUAGAAAGAAAGGGACUUUUAUCGACUUCUUCUGGAGUUUAGAGACUCUGACAUGAAGCAGGCUUUCCUUACUGAGGAGUUAGCAACGCUGCUAAGGGUGCAGAGCCACACAUGCGCUCCGAGCUCUGCAUGGGAGACUGAAGCUGACAGAGCUGCAGCAGUUAGCAGGUUUCACCCUCAGAGACCACCAGGGGUUCAUGUUGAGGCAUUUUCAGUUUUUUUUUUUUUUUUGCCAUAGACACUGUCAGCACAAUCUGCAGUUACACUAACAAAAAUGCUGCAAAAAACAAAGAAUUAUGGAAAAAUUACACAUGGACUAACAUAGAGGAGGAUCUACACAAGUUUUUUACAUCAUGUUUUACAUCAUGCAUCAUUUACAUCAUGUUUUUUUGUAGUGGCAUAAAUAAAAAGUGACAUUUGUGAGACUAUACAGUGUUUUGUAAAUAAUUUUACAAAGAACACCUGGGCCAUUGCCUGCAUUUUGAUGUAAAUAGAGGUAAAUUACUAUGUUCUUUGUUAAAAAUUUGCAUAUGUUUUGAAGUUUACAAUUUUAAUUUGAAGUUUAAGUUUUAAAAACAGUUCAUCACACAUAUUUGUGGUUUUCACAGUAAAAACGUUACUUUUUUCCACUCGGAUUUUAUGUUUUGUGUGUGAAUUUGGGUCCAAUGUGUAAAUAUAGUAUGUCAAAAUGAUAAAAUAACUGUAAAUUGACACAGGUGAGGUUGUGAUGAAAAAAAUGAUACCAGGCAAGGCAAGGUAAAAAUUUUGUAAGAGGAAAUAUAAAGGUAAAAUCUAAAGUAGUCAAAAACGGCCAAUAGUGACUCACAGACUCCACAGACAAGUCCCUUUGGCGCCACUCAGUGGGCAAAACUACUUUGUCUACUGUAAUGUAUAUUUGGGUCAUCUUUGGCGCCCCCUAAAACGUAAACCGUGGGGUGCAGCGUCAUGAUUUUUACAACUUUGAAUGGCCAUGGAGUGUAGAUUGGCCUGAGCAAAUUUGGUGUCAGUGGGACGAAAGCCUUAGGAGGAGUUAGCGAAAUUCCAAUGUGUGCGAAUCGGCAAAAAAUGCAAAAUAGCCCUUUUACCGUACAUUAUACAGAUACGCGCUCUUUGACUUUUUCGUAGAUCUAAUUGAGAUACACAUGAUUGUCAAUUUUUGUGUCAUUUUGCCAAAGCGUACAGGCGUGACAGUCAACAAUGUGUAUUUUCACCUUAGGGGACAAGAAAAAAUGGACUUUUUUCUCCUGCCAUGGGGGGCGCUCUUUUAGGGAGUAAAAAUUCCUUCACAAAUGUGUUGAUGGCUGGACAUUGCAUCAUCCUAGAAAACUUGGAGGCCAGUGAGGACAAAAAUAAAAAGUUAUAAGACUUUUAAAAAUGUGGAUUUUUGGGUUAUCUUUGGCGCCCCCUAGAAUGUAAACCGUGGGGUGCAGCGUCAUGAUUUGAAUAACUUUUAAUGGCCAUGGGGUGUAGAUUGGCCUGAGCAAAUGUGGUGCCGGUGGAACGAAAGCCUUCGGAGGAGUUAGCGAAAUUCCAAUGUGUGCGAAUCGGCAAAAAAUGCGGAAUAACCCUUUAACCGUACAUUUGACAGAUACGCGCGCAUGGACUUUUUUGUAGAUCUUAUUGAGAUACAUGUGUGUGUCAAUUUUUGUGUCAUUUUGACAAAGCGUACAGGCGUGACACUCAACAAUGUGUAUUUUCACCUUAGGGGACAAGAAAAAAUUGACUUUUUUCUCCUGCCAACAUGAGAAGGGAGGGAGGGACUCUCAGCAGGGAUGCAGUCUGGGACACGUAGUUGCAAACCUAGCGACUUUGUUGUUAGAUUCAAUGACUUUUCAGACCCCCUAACGACUUUUUUUUAGAAAGAAAGGGACUUUUAUCGACUUCUUCUGGAGUUUAGAGACUCUGACAUGAAGCAGGCUUUCCUUACUGAGGAGUUAGCAACGCUGCUAAGGGUGCAGAGCCACACAUGCGCUCAGAGCUCUGCAUGGGAGACUGAAGCUGACAGAGCUGCAGCAGUUAGCAGGUUUCACCCUCAGAGACCACCAGGGGUUCAUGUUGAGGCAUUUUAAUUUUUUUUUUUUUUUGUGCCAUAGACACUGUCACCACAAUCUGCAGUUACACUAACAAAAAUGCUGCAAAAAACAAAGAAUUAUGGAAAAAUUACACAUGGACUGACAUAGAGGAGGAUCUACACAAGUUUUUUACAUCAUGUUUUACAUCAUGCAUCAUUUACAUCAUGUUUUUUUGUAGUGGCAUAAAUAAAAAGUGACAUUUGUGAGACUAUACAGUGUUUUGUAAAUAAUUUUACAAAGAACGCCUGGGCCAUUGCCUGCAUUUUGAUGUAAAUAGAGGUAAAUUACUAUGUUCUUUGUUAAAAAUUUGCAUAUGUUUUGAAGUUUACAAUUUUUAUUUGAAGUUUAAGUUUUAAAAACAGUUCAUCACACAUAUUUGUGGUUUAAUUUCACAUUAAUUUCCAUAUUGUAUAAAUGACUGGAAAAAACUUGAGCCCCUGCCCCUGUAUAAUCAUGUGCACGUCCCUGUUCUAGCUCCAAGGUGAAUCUUCACUGCUCAUGUUCUCCUCAGAAAUAGUCACUUCACUCCCCUCAGGUUACUGUACACAUGCACCAACUAUCUGCUUCAGGUUUGAAAUGGAGCUUCAUGGUUGUCUUUUGGAGAAAUGAACAGUCAAGUUGUGUUUGAAAUUUGAUUUUUUUCAGGGGCAAAAGGAAGCCUCUGCAUUCUUGUCAAAUAUGUAAACAGCAUGUUUUUGCAGGUGCUAAAAAACAGACUCUGAGUGUGUGUGUGUGUUGUGUGUGUGUGUGUGUGUGUGUGUGUGUGUAUGUUGGCGUGUGUGUAUAUGUGUGUGUAUCCUGCAGUACUCUGUACUCCUGCAGUGGCCAAAAAGACUUUUAAGAAUGUGGAUUUUUGGGUCAUCUUUGGCGCCCCCUAGAACUGCAGUACUCUGUACUCCUGCAGUGGCCAAAAUGACUUUUAAGAAUGUGGAUUUUUGGGUCAUCUUUGGCGCCCCCUAGAACGUAAACCGUGGGGUGCAGCGUCAUGAUUUUUACAACUUUGAAUGGGCAUGGGGUGUAGAUUGCCCUGAGCAAAUUUGGUAUCGGUGGGACGAAAGCCUUAGGAGGAGAUAGCCACAUUCCAAUGUGUGCGAAUCGGCAAAAAAUGCAAAAUAGCCCUUUAACCGUACAUUAUACAGAUACGCACUCUUUGACUUUUUCGUAGAUCUAAUUGAGAUACACAUGAUUGUCAAUUUUUGUGUCAAUAUGACAAAGCGUUCAGGCGUGACACUCAACAAUGUGUAUUUUCAUGUAAGGGGACAAGAAAAAAUUGACUUUUUUCUCCUACCAUGGGGGGCGCUCUUUUGGGGAGUAAAAAUUCCUUCACAAAUGUGUUGAUGGCUGGACAUUGCAUCAUCCUAGAAAACUUGGAGGCCAGUGAGGACAAAAAUAAAAAGUUAUAAAACAUUUAAGAAUGUGGAUUUUUGGGUUAUUUUUGGCGCCCCCUAGAACCUAAACCAUGGGGUGCAGCAUCAUGAUUUGAAUAACUUUUAAUGGCCAUGGGGUGUAGAUUGGCCUGAGCAAAUGUGGUGCCGGUGGAACGAAAGCCUUAGGAGGAGUUAGCGAAAUUCCAAUGUGUGCGUAUCGGCAAAAAAUGCGGAAUAACCCUUUAACUGUACAUUUGACAGAUACGCGCGCAUGGACUUUUUUGUAGAUCUUAUUGAGUUACAUGUGUGUGUCAAUUUUUGUGUCAUUUUGACAAAGCGUAUAGGCGUGACACUCAACAAUGUGUAUUUUCACCUGAGGGGACAAGAAAAAAUGGACUUUUUUCUCCUGCCAUGGGGGGGCGCUCUUUUGGGGAGUAAAAAUUCCUUCACAAAUGUGUUGAUGGCUGGACAUUGCAUCAUCCUAGAAAACUUGGAGGCCAGUGAGGACAAAAAUAAAAAGUUAUAAGACUUUUAAAUAUGUGGAUUUUAGUGUUAUCUUUGGCGCCCCCUAGAACCUAAACCUUGGGGUGCAGCGUCAUGAUUUUGAUAACUUUUAAUGGCCACGGGGUGUAGAUUGGCCUGAGCAAAUGUGGUGCCGGUGGAACGAAAGCCUUCGGAGGAGUUAGCGAAAUUCCAAUGUGUGCAGAUCGGCAAAAAAUGCGAAAUAACCCUUUAACCGUAAUUUUGACAGAUACGGCCGCACUGACUUUUUUGUAGAUCUUAUUGAGAUACAUGUGUGUGUCAAUUUUUGUGUCAUUUUGACAAAGCGUACAGUCGUGACAGUGAAUAGUGUGAAUUUUCACCUUAGGGGGCGCUAUGGAGCCAUUUUGCAUUUUAUUGUUUUGGCGACUUCAGAAUAUCAAAUUUUUCACCAGGCCCGGUCGUCCUGCCAAAUUUCAUGAGUUUUCGCCAGUGGGAAGUGGGCCAUUUUCCAGUUCAAAGGGGAGGAAAAAGAAGAAACUAGGGCCCCGUUGGGGCACUGGCGGGCCCGAGCCGUGUCGCGCUGCCCCCCCCAACGCGCUGCCUCCCCGUCCCAUUCGCGUCCUCUGGCCAUCGUCCUCUCUGGUAACGCCCAUCACUGCAAAGACCCUUUCCUUCAUCGGCGUUUGCUGUUCUUCCUGCCAGUGCGUGUUGCUUUCACUUACACUUGCCACAGCCAGCCUCGUGAGUGCCUAGCCUAUUGGAUAUCACUGUCAUCUACACAGGACAGUCAUAACCUUUCUAUUAAUACUUUGUUUUUUAAUUUCACAUUAAUUUCCAUAUUGUAUAAAUGACUGGAAAAAACUUGAGCCCCUGCCCCUGUAUAAUCAUGUGCACGUCCCUGUUCUAGCUCCAUGGUGAAUCUUCACUGCUCAUGUUCUCCUCAGAAAUAGUCACCUCACUCCCCUCAGGUUACUGUACACAUGCACCAACUAUCUGCUUCAGGUUUGGAUGGAGCUUCAUGGUUGUCUUUUGGAGAAAUGAACAGUCAAGUUGUGUUUGAAAUUUGAUUUUUUUCAGGGGCAAAAGGAAGCCUCUGCAUUCUUGUCAAAUAUGUAAACAGCAUGUUUUUGCAGGUGCUAAAAAACAGACUCUGAGUGUGUGUGUGUGUGUGUGUGUGUGUGUGUGUGUGUGUGUGUGUGUGUGUGUGUGUGUGUGUGUUGGCGUGUGUGUAUAUGUGUGUGUAUCCUGCAGUACUCUGUACUCCUGCAGUGGCCAAAAAGACUUUUAAGAAUGUGGAUUUUUGGGUCAUCUUUGGCGCCCCCUAGAACUGCAGUACUCUGUACUCCUGCAGUGGCCAAAAUGACUUUUAAGAAUGUGGAUUUUUGGGUCAUCUUUGGCGCCCCCUAGAACGUAAACCGUGGGGUGCAGCGUCAUGAUUUUUACAACUUUGAAUGGGCAUGGGGUGUAGAUUGCCCUGAGCAAAUUUGGUAUCAGUGGGACGAAAGCCUUAGGAGAAGAUAGCCACAUUCCAAUGUGUGCGAAUCGGCAAAAAAUGCGAAAUAGCCCUUUAACCGUACAUUAUACAGAUACGCGCUCUUUGACUUUUUCGUAGAUCUAAUUGAGAUACACAUGAUUGUCAAUUUUUGUGUCAAUAUGACAAAGCGUUCAGGCGUGACACUCAACAAUGUGUAUUUUCAUGUAAGGGGACAAGAAAAAAUUGACUUUUUUCUCCUGCCAUGGGGGGGCGCUCUUUUGGGGAGUAAAAAUUCCUUCACAAAUGUGUUGAUGGCUGGACAUUGCAUCAUCCUAGAAAACUUGGAGGGCAGUGAGGACAAAAAUAAAAAGUUAUAAGACUUUUAAGAAUGUGGAUUUUUGGGUUAUCUUUGGCGCCCCCUAGAACCUAAACCGUGGGGUGCAGCGUCAUGAUUUGUACAACUUUUAAUGGCCAUGGGGUGUAGACUGGCCUGAGCAAAUGUGGUGCCGGUGGAACGAAAGCCUUCGGAGGAGUUAGCGAAAUUCCAAUGUGUGCGGAUCGGCAAAAAAUGCG